GACAGGAACAGCUUACAAGACACAUACAACACCUAAGGUAUCUUAAUCUGUCGUCACAUGAUUUCGAGAAACUUCCUGAAGGUAUAAGCAUUAUGUAUAAUCUACAAACGUGCAUGCCUCUAUACCAAUGGAUGCAAAUCAUUGACGUGCAUGCCUCCAGGACUUGGACAGAUCACUUCUCUGCAGACUUUAACAUAUUUUGUUAUUGGUGAUGGAUUGGGAAGUAGUACUAUCGGAGAACUUCAAAACUUAAACAUUGCUGGAGAGUUAGAGUUAAGUGGUCUGCAAAAUGUAACAGAAGUGCUUGCAAAAGCAGCCAGUCUUGAAAAUAAAGAGAAACUCACACACUUAUCUCUCGAGUGGAAUGAUGAUGCCUGUGAGAAACCAGAUUCUCAUAAUGGGGUGUUAGAUGCCCUUAAACCUCAUCAUCAGCUGGAGAUGCUAAGAAUAAAGUCCUACAAAGGCACCAAUUUACCGUCAUGGAUAACAGAUCUUAGUCUGUUGCAGCACUUGACUGGGCUCCAUCUGCUUGGUUGUACGCUGUGUGAGGAAUUCCCUCAAUUCUGCCGUUCCAAAGCCCUUGAAGUUCUGUAUUUGAAAAAGUUGGACAAAUUGCGAAGCCUAUGCAGCCAUAUGGUGUCUACGCCAUUUCCAGCACUGAAGCAACUCUGGUUACAUGAUUUGGAGAGCUUGGAGAGAUGGGGUCGCAACAGAAGGAAAAGAAGAUGAAUUAACCUUUCCUGUACUCGAGGAGGCACUACGGGAAACAGUAGAUUUGCCGAGUGCCACAGGCACUCGACGAAGGCCUAAAAACAUUCGCGAAGGCCUUUGCCGAGAGGCAAAAAACACUUGGUGACUUUGAACCCUCGGCGAAAACGAGGGUAAUGGCAGCCAUGGUAACGGCGAAGUUGCCGAGUGUCAAACGGCCGACACUCGGCAACCUCCAUAUAUGUUGUCGAGUGCCAAGGCUCGGACACUCGGCAACUAACUCUAAGUUCGCCAAGUGCCACACUCGGCGAAGAGGCGCCACCGGCCAGCAGCUUGCUUGUUUGCUGAGUGUUAUAGCAGAAACACUCGGUGAAUACGUGGACUUCGCCUAGUGUUGUAGCCAAAACACUCGGUGAAUACGUAGAUGUUGGCCAAGUUCUCGGCAAACCAUCUACACCCGGCAAAUAAAUGCUAGAAUCACAGGAAAUGGCCUCUUUGCCGAGUGUUAAUGCCAAAACACUCGGCGAAGCCCCUCUUUGCCGAGUGUUACACUCGACAAACUAACCAAAUCACCCCUAUUUUUAUUGUUUUGUGAUGUAUAAAAGACCCCUCUCAACAGAUAUCACAGGCAUAUAUCUUACAUCACAGACAUAAUUCACAACCUCCAAUACAGACAUUAUUCAUAAACGUCUUAGUCAUAAUCCAUUGUAAGCAUCAAACAAGCCAUAAGUCCAAGUUCAAGUCACAACUAAGUUUCUAAUAAUUAAGCCACAAAUGCAAAGCCUAAAACCAUGGAGGCCGUGGGGAGAACUGCGACAAAUCCGGGUCUUGACCUUGAGUAUUCGAAGCUGCCGAAUGAUUCUGCACGCAGGAUAAGACAUUUUGAGCUAACAUCUAAAGUUGUCUAAGUUAAACUAUUCAAUGUUAAGCAUAAUGUGUCAAGUGACUCACAGGAGUAGUUGUGGGUGGCUGAGGUGGAGGGAAUAGCAUCGGUGGCGGUGGCAAUGGUUGACCCAUACUUGAAGCAAAAUUCUGCAUGUAGUGGAACAUUUGUUCCUCAACCGAUUUUCUUUCUCCACCCUCCUAGUCUCGGCCUGUACCCUUUGCUGAACCAUCUGCUCCAUCGUCACCGUCAUCUCCUGUUGUUGCUUCUUUGUUGCUUCCAACUCGGCCUACAAUAUUUCAUCGCAAUGCUACAAUGCAAAGCUAAAGUACGUAACAACCAACUAACGAUGAAUGGAAUAGAAAGAACCUGGAGAGCCUCCAUCUGGUACUGUGCAGUGGUUGGUCAUGGCCGUAUCGCUGGGCUCGAGUCCAUGCUCCUUGCUCGGAUCUGGGAGAGAGUGAGAGUAGAGGUCGUGUCGAUUACGCUAUCGCCAAUCCAAUACCGGCCAUGCUUCUUGCCUCCUCCCACCAUCAUCACGACUUCUCCAUCAAUAUCCUCGGAGCUCGGGGGCCUCGCCGCUUUACCCUUCCCUCUAGCCUUCCCUCGAGGCCUCUGGACCUCUUCCUCCUCCUCCUCAAAGCCGUGGAGAAUAUGACAUCACUCUGGAAAGGCUCCUCGAGAUAUAGCACCAACAUUAUAUAAACUGGCAUGCAUGGAGAAAGCACAGAACUAUCAGGGAGGACAUGGUUGAUCAUAAUUGGACUAGAGGUCUAUAGAGAAUGCAAACUAUGGAGAAAAUGGCAGAAUUCAUAAUCCUUUGGGAUUUGGUGCAGGAUGUGGACCGCAUGUGGAUCUUACACUUCAAAAUCAGUAUAUGAGGCACAAUUCAGAGGAUCCUUUACCACCUUUGAACCAAGCGACAUUUGGAGGGCCUACACUGAAGCUAAGCAGUACAAGUUCUUUGCAUGGCUGUUAAUUUAGAGCAAGAUCAUGACAACUGACAAGAUGAUGGCCAUAAACUGGGACUCUCACAUGAUCUGCCCCUAUGUGAUCAGGAAAAUGAAACAGCUAUCCACCUUUGCCUGAACUGCUGUUAUGCCAAAGAAAUUUGGGUCCUAGUAAGCAAUUGGACGUAGGAGCUAUCUGCAUGCCUGCAACUGAUGAGGAUGAAAUGGAAGCGUGGUGGACUCGAUCCUUACAAGCUUUCAGCAAAAAGCAAAGAAGAUCAAUGGCUACAUACAUGAUCAUGACAACGUGGAGCAUAUGGAAGGAACACAAUCGUCGAGUUUUUGAAGGAAAAUCCCUAAGGGCAAUUCAAUUUUUUGAUUUGCUUCAAGAGGAGGUGAUGAUGCAUCAUGGUGUGGUACCCCAGAUUUGAGGUAGUGUAUCUUUAUUUUGGUUAUGAGUUAUCUUAGAGACCUACUUAAUUUAUGUAAUAUCGAUCUAUACGUAACUUUAAGCUUCUAUCUCGUUAAAUGAAGUAGCAGUGCUCAUGCUUUGUUUAAAAAAAAAUCUGAGUCCUUCAGUUUGCCACGUGAGCCGAUGAAGCAGAAACAGAUGAUGAUGAUGGAUGAUAUAGCCGCCGGGACCCACUGCAACCUCGUGCACCAAUCAUGACGAUCUCUAACGGCAAAGGCAUGCAUCCAGUAUGGCCUGAUGAAGUAAUUUAGGCUGCCGAAUUUGUUUCUGCUCGUUGCGCAUAGAAGGCGUCUUUUCGUUUCCUUUUUUUUUUCCCACUCGAGAAGGAAUUCAAUUCGGAUCAUCAAAACAACAGCCCAGUCCAGACUGAAGAAUUUGGUCACCAAAUUUGGAUGGAGGUAAAAAGUCACUAAUUACCUGCAGCACUGAAUAGUACUGGUUCGUUCAUUUACUGUUUCCUCAAACUUUCAGCUGAGAGUUCGUGCAUUGUGGUGAGACUAAAUUAGCUGCUUAAUCUGCUGCAGGACAUCUGUUGGUCGUGUUAAUUCCUGCUGGUGGUGGAGCAAACCAUGACCGACUUAGUGAUCUCGGGCCGUUCAUCUUCAUGGUGGAGAACGUGAUUGAAGGCAUGGAGGAGCAGCGCAAUGCAAGACUGAAACAAAUCAGAUUUUUAUUUCUAAGAAUCCGACUCCGUGUAACCUUGCGAUAGUUCCUGGAUCAGUAGCUGUCACGUACAAAAUUCAACCUAUAAGUGUAUAGGACUUUGAGUAAGAAGGCACGAAGCACUUAGAAAUUACAUUAAUAGCCUGCAGCCUACAAUUAGCUGCAUGGAAAAAACUAUGAUUAGAUAUAAAUAAAACCAUCAGAGGAAGUAGGGUAAUAAUUUAGACAUGUCAAGUUUAGUAUUAACAGUCGCGCAUAAACAAUUAUAGAGUGCGAAAAUUUAAUAGGAAGGAUAUAGUAGAGAUUCCCUUAUAUUACAAUGUUAAUCUCCAGGACGGGGUACCGGUGGAGGCGAGGAGGGGAACCGGUGGAGGGAGGCGAGGGUUUUAGGUGAGGUUGAUGAGGUGGCGUCGCUCCCUUUCUGUUGUGCGAUGCUCCCUUUCUCCGAUUCCUCCAAUCUGUUGUGCGAGAUUGAAGGACCGAAAGAGCGACCAAAGGGGGGUGAAUGGGAGCCUAUAAAAAUUCUCAACGAGAACAAGGCCUAUGUCCCAAACGCAACCCCAAAGCACACCGUGUGUUUAAUCGUCAAGAUGACGCAAGUCAACUCGUGACAAGCUCACCCUAGGAACGAUAAGAGAUGCACAAAACAUAGCGGAAGCAAGAUAUGAAUUGACUCCAACAAGUUUUCUCAACACCCGGUUAACCAAGAUUACUACUAGCUAAUUAUCUAACUAAGCAUGCAUAAUCAAAGAUUAAUUUAAGUGCUAGGCAUGACUAGCAAAGAGUGAUAAAAAAAAUAACGCAAAUAGCACUGAUUAGCAAGAGACACUAGAGAUUAAAACGCUAAACAAAAUAACAAAGAUUAAUUAGCAAUGGCAUGAAUCAACUAACGACCCAAAAGGAGGUGCUCACUGUGCUGGACGUUCGCAUGGUCUGCUAGUGGAUUUUUUUCUUGCGGUCUGGUGCUCCUGGUGACCUGCGCUGGCCCACUUGGCCUGGUGGCCGGCCUGAGCAGCAAGCAGGCUUGAACUGGGCCGCGUGCUGCUGCCACCUCGCCCGGGCCUGCUUGGCAUACGCUGGGCCUCAAGCACCUGAGCACAGCUGGGCCACCUUUCACACGCGAGCUGGACCGCUGACCAGGCUGCUCGCUCCACGCACGUGAGCGCCUGCUGCCUGCCCCUUCCCGGUGGAACAUUCCUGCGAAUGAACAGAGAUGAACAGAACAAGAACACAAGAAGAACAAGAAGAACAGCCGAGACUUCAAAUCAUAAGAUCUCCUCCCAUACUUCACAGAUCGAGAUGAAACUUGAGAUAAGGAUGCAAUACCCCAAGGGCAAAUAGAUCUAUAAAGCAAAUCCUGAAAGAACUCAAGUAUACAUCACUAAUCUUGGAGAAAACCGAAACCCUAACUCAAGAACACGAUUUGGAAGAAAUUAGAAAUCCAAGCCGGAUCCGUGAGAGAUUUAAAAGGGGAUCAUAUCAAAUAUGCUCUCCAAGGUCUUAGCAACAUUUCCGUUCAACCAAUCUCACGAUAUUCGGGCUCAAACGUGAUGAACGAAAAUUCCCCAAAAAUAGUUCCGAAAAUAGGGAAAAAGAAAAACACUCAGGAAUCAAAGAUUUAGCACAAUUUGAGAUAACAAAUAAAGCUAAAUCAUGAGAACAUCUUCUAUACCAGAUGAGGAACUAGCCUCCUCCCUUCAUCCACCCACUAAAGAUAAAGAAAUCAAGAGAAAAGAGUAAUCACUCUCUAAUCUCCCUCUCUCCUCUCACUUUAAGCACAUGACUAGCCUCUAAGCCAAAAGAUAAUGAGUUGCUAAGCAAAGAGGUACUGAAAUAACCAGCCCCCAACCCUAUUUAUAGUCCAGGACGAAAGACUAUACUACCCCUACAGCUACAACUAAGUUAACUACCCACGCAGGGGUAUUUUGAUCCAAGUUUUUAUCCGCGCAUCGGACGGACACGCCGCCUUCACGACUUUGCUUCGCCUCGACGCAAGCUUCGCGAUGACGCCACGUGCCCUCCUUCUCGAAGCCCCGGCCGCACCGGGCUCGCCCCCGGUUUUGAGGCCCAAACCGGGAAACCUGCCUGCGCGGUGGUUUUGAGGCCCAAACCACCCAAACCGUCCAUCUUCGCUUGGCCGCCAUGCAACCUCCUCGAUAUCGACGCGUGUCCGGCCUCCGCCAAGCCUCCCGCUUGACUCGACCGACACCGUCUCCAUCCUGUCAUGCCCUCUCGCCAUUCCGUGCACCAUGUGGACCGCCCGUGACUUCGCCCGGACUCCUCGGGUCCAUCGGUCCAAACCUACUCGCGUUCAUCCUUCACCGCCUUUGGUCCAUCAGCAUGAACCUUUCGCUUGACCUUCACCGCACGCUGUCGACCGCCACGUCGCAUCCUACACCUGCACAUCACAAGCCAAGAGCAACAUCAAACCAACACAACGUUGUCAAUCACUCAUCAUCCAAGGGUGACCACCAUUGGUCCUCAAUCUUCCCCUUGAUGAGUGCAUUGACAACACCACACAAAUUCAUAGUAUUGAAACAGAAAGACAAGAAACUCAAAAUAGAAAAAUCUCAGUCCCCUAAAAUAAGAGCAACGGCUCUACACAACUGAGACAAAAUCAUGUGAUCCCUCAAGAAGAGGCAGAAAACAGGCUCAACACCAAUCACAUGAAAAUCCAAACUCAAAUCAAAAACCGGCUCCUCAAGAAGAGGUAAACAGCUCAACGCGACCGGUACAAGAGCAUAAGAGCAUAACAAGAGUAUAACAACUCAUAAAUACUCCCCCUGAACAUACACACUCCCCCUAAAAUCAUGCAUACAUGCAAAGUCUCCCCCUUGAUAGAUGAAAGAGUUUGUGUAGAUUUCUCUCCCCCUUGUUGACAAUGCAACCAUCAAGAAAAGCAUGAAAGCACAAAGUGCAUGCCAUGGAAAUGUAGAACCUAACAAGCUUCUCAAAUCUAUCACAAUGCACUCUCAAAGGCUACUAGGGAGAUAAAGCUUGAUAGAUCAUAAGAAACAAUAGCAUCGCCAACAAGAUGAUAUCAAGUUACAACAGUGGAGGUGAAGCAAGUAUCAAGUUUUAGCAAUGUAUAAAAAGAUCACCACAUGAGCAUUCACCUAGUUAAGAAUCACCCAAGCAAGAAUAGACUAGUCCAUCAAGACCUCAUACUAGGAAAAUCCAUUCUCAACAAGAGAUCAUUGCAAACACCCACAUAUGCAUCACAAGUCAUGUUUAAAGUUUGUUGAAACCAAGUGUCUACUGUCAGGCAUACACCCCAGGUCCACGAGUAGGCCUUGGACGGCCCACCAAGGGACGUACUCGGACAAGAUCAGAACAGGAUGGGCGUAUCCUACUCGGACUAGUCAAGUAUGUUUAUGGAAAACUACUCGGGCCAUUACCGAGUAGAACUCUAUAAUAGUACCCGACUAGGACUCAGACUUGUAACCCUGCCCUCCCGUGUAUAUAAGGACGGGCAGGGACCCCUCUCAACACCCAACCGGGAUAGACCUCAACACACGAGGACAACUCCAGUUCAUCAAAUACAAACCAACACACAGGAUGUAGGGUAUUACGCGAUCUAGCGGCCCGAACCUGUCUAAAUCGUGUUUCUUACGUCACCAUUGAUUCCUUGAUUCUCGACGACCCUUACCGCAUAAAAGACCACCUAGGGUACCCCAUAGGCGGGUUGCUGGUUCAAAACACCGACAGCUGGCGCGCUAGGUAGGGGACCUCGUCGAGUUUCUCAGCGCGAACUCAAUGGCAAAGGUCAUCAUCAGGCCCGUUUUCCUCAUCGAAGCCGGCGCCACCUUCAUUUUCGGAUCCUAGCUUUGCAUCGCCGACGGCUCGGAUUCGUUCUGACGCCAGAUCGUCGACGACCAGGAGAAGAAACCAGAAGAUCUGAUCGGAAAAAACCAAGAUUUCGAAAUCAACGAGUUCGAGUUCGACUACGCGUCGGAUUUGACUUCGCCUCGGACUACUCCGACCCUCUGCUCAGGGGUCGGGCGCACCUGACCCAAGGACUCAGGGUCGGGCGAGGCGGAGUUUCACCCCUUGGGGUCGGGCGAAGCGGAGCUACUCCCCCAAAGGGUCGGCCUCAGCCGACCCCAGAACUCAGGGUCGGACUCACCUUGGACUACUCGGUCCCAGCCAGUGUCCAAGUCGGUUUCGACCUCAAAGCGGUUCCCGCACGGACUCCGCAACGCAACCAAAGUCCACCAAGGUUUUCUUACUCGAACCCGAUUCGAACUCGGGCAUGACGAAGACGUCGACUCCGACUCGUCCUAUUCACCAGAAAUACCAUUAUCUGGUCCAGCCCAAGGAUUGGUAAUAACUUCGACAUCACAAGGCAGAUUCGUCCACUGGCCGGGAUUGCGACCAUCUCUUCUUGACCGCGACUACAACUCACGCCUUGUCGCCCAUAUAGACAACCUCCCAUAUCAAGAAGGCGUUCCACUCACUUCCAACUGCAAGGAAAGUUCCACAGAGAUUGCAACAUCAAGCUCCGGAAGCUACUACCCAGACAGGGAGAUACUUGUUAUUACUCAGAAUAACAACCCGAGUACUAGCCAGAAUAGAACCCCCAGGCGAUUAGCACAAAUCGACAACAUCUCCGAAGAUGAGUCUACAGCUGACGCCCCUCACAAUGAAACCUCCGAGCAGCGCAACCAAAGAAGGGCGCGCAAUGCUACUCGAGCCGAGCGACGACAGUUGAUGGCUACAAAUAUUCCCAUUACAAAUCUUGAAAGGGCUUUCAACGCAGUCCAGGCUCAGGAGCACAAUACUCCACUCGCGGCUAUCGCCUCAAUCGACCUUUUAACAACAUUGAUGCCUCAGGAUAAGGAUAACGCAGCCACAGCUCAACUCGUGCAGUGUGGCAACGGACUGAUCGCACAACUCGCGGAGCAAGCUUACAAGAUACUCGACAAAGAAUCACCAAUCCCGUCUGUUCCUCGUAUCACAUCUCAUCAAGAAGGUAGCAGGGGAGCUGCAGACAAUAACACCGCCCCACGAAACGAUAACGCAAUCAACCAACCUCGGCAACACAGCCAAGGUCCAAGCAAGCAUAAGGCCCCUGCUCAACAUAAGGAUGUUGGUGAGGUCAGCUGCACCAACUCGGUUAAAAGCAUCCGCCCUACUCGGAAGAAACACGAAAUGUCCAACUUCAGUGAUUUGCGAGAAAUUCUCAACAGUCGGCGCGAAUGGGAAGUCGACAGCUACAACCAUUUUCCUGCUCUCACAAACCGGGUAAUGAAAACAAAAUUACCCGACAAGUUCAAGCCAACCGGAAUCAGCAAGUAUGAUGGCAAGCAAGACCCAAUUCAAUGGCUACGAUGUUACUCGCUAGCCGUCCAAGCAGCCGGGGGCAAUAACGACACCAAAGUUAUCCAUUUCCCCAUAUGCAUGGAACCCGCACCACUGACCUGGCUUGAGUCACUCAAACCCAAGUCCAUUGACUCUUGGGCAGACUUGACAAAGGCUUUUACCAACAACUUCGCCGGCUCCAUGGCUAGACCAGGCAACAAGAUCGACUUAAGUCAAAUUAAGCAAAAAGAAGGCGAGACCCUAUGCGACUAUCUGCGACGGUUCUUCGAAAAGAAGGCUACCAUAGUCGACAUCUCCAAAACAGACGUCAUUGAGUGCUUCCAGAAUGGACUCUAUGAUCGACGAGCAUACCAAGACUUCGGUCGCCGACGACCAGCUGAUGUCAAAGAACUCAAAGUCAUGGUGCAACAGUGGGCGGAUGAAGAAGACAAAGAGCGAGAACGGUUCGGCUCCCACCGUAACCGCGGACGCGACAACAACCACAACAAUGACCCAGAUAGAACUCGGCAUAACGAUGCCCGGAACACCUAUUCGAGUAACCACAAUCGCAAAAGGAAGCCCAACAACACUGUUGCCGCCAUGACCAACUCCGGGAAAAAGGGACACCGCAGAAAUGAUGAAGGGCCAACCUUCACUGAGCUACUAAAAAAGCAGUGCCCAUGGCAUCCGACUAGCAAGCACUCGGCGAUAGACUGCUACAGCAUGCGCCGAGUCAUGCAAGACUUACCCGCACCACCACCCCCUGAAGAGUACACCAAGAAUAGAGAUAAGGGUAAGAAUAAAGCUCGCAACGACGAAGAUGAGGAAGGCGACUUCCAGACAGCUUCAAAAACUGUCAACGUCAUUUUCAGCGGUAUCCCAGGCACUGCAUCCAAGCGAGCCAACAAACUCGUACUCAGGGAGAUCAUGGCCAUCGAACCAACAGACCCUACACCGUUAAAAUGGUCAGAAGUUCCAAUUUCUUUCAGCAGAAAAGAUCAAUGGACAAAAUUUUCAGAACCAGGCCGUUUCCCACUAGUCCUGGAUCCAGUUGUGGCAGGAUCAAAGUUAACCAAAGUACUCAUUGACGGCGGAAGCGGCCUCAACAUUAUCUUCGCCAAGACAUUAAGGAAGAUGUGCCUCGACGUUACUGAAAUGCUUACCCCAACGGAUUUACCUUUCUACGGCAUCGUGCCUGGAAACGCGGCUAUACCACUAGGACAAGUUGUCCUUCCAGUCACCUUCGGCACUAAAGAACAUUACCGUACCGAGUACAUCAGAUUCGAAGUCGCAGACUUCGAGACAUCUUACCAUGCUAUACUCGGACGGCCAGCACUCGCCAAGUUCAUGGCCAUACCACAUUAUGUCUACCUGGUACUCAAAAUGCCAGGCCCCAAGGGGGAGCUCACGCUACGAGGAGAUCUACGGUGAUCCUACGAAUGUGACACUGAAGCUGUGGAAAUUGCUGCGACUACUCAAGCACCCAGUCCCAUACAACAAGUCUUCACAGCUUCAAAGAAGCUCAAUCCAACCGAACUAGAGAUCUCGGAAAACAAGUCGGGGUCCACAAAGGUGAAACCCGCCACUGAGCAAGACUUCAAAUUAGUUGACCUCCAGACAGGUGAUUCUUCCAAGACAGCCCUGAUCGGAACAGGGCUAGAUCCUAAAUAGGAAUUCGUGCUCGUCAGCUUCCUUCGGGCUAACCACGAUAUCUUCGCUUGGAAACCGGCUGACAUGCCAGGUGUGCCCAAGGAACUGAUUGAGCAUUCUCUCAAUGUCGAUCCCAAAGCUACUUCAAAAUGGCAACGACUACGUCGGUUCGCUCAGGACAGACGAGAAGCAAUCAAAAAAGAGUUAGCCAAGCUACUCGCGGCAGGGUUCAUCAAAGAAGUCUUUCAUCCUGACUGGCUCGCCAAUCCUGUGCUUGUUCGUAAGAAAAACAAUGAAUGGAGAAUGUGUGUUGACUACACCGACCUCAACAAACACUUAUCAAAAGACCCUUUCGGGCUACCCAGGAUCAAUCAUGUGGUUGACUCCACCGCUGGGUGCGCUUUGCUAUGCUUUCUCGACUGCUACUCCGACUAUCACCAGAUAAGCCUCAAAGAGGAAGAUCAAGCCAAAACAGCGUUCAUCACGCCCUUCGGAGCUUUCUGCUACAAAACAAUGUCCUUCGGACUAAAAAAUGCAGGAGCAACUUAUCAAAGGGCCAUACAGAUGUGCUUCGAAAGGCAACUUCACCGCAAUGUCGAAGCUUAUGUCGACGACGUUGUCGUCAAAACAAGAAACCGGGAGGAACUCAUUGCUGACUUGGAGGAAACUUUCUCUAGUCUCCGCGCUUUUCGAUGGAAACUCAAUCCUACUAAGUGCAUCUUUGGAGUACCUUCCGGUUAGCUACUCGGGUUCAUCAUUAGCCAUCGCGGCAUUGAGGCCAACCCGGAAAAAAUAUCUGCCAUCACAAACAUGCAGGCACCAGCCAGCAUUAAGGAUGUGCAGAAACUCACAGGCUGCAUGGCCGCCCUCAACCGGUUUAUCUCGAGACUUGGAGAACGGGGACUACCCUUCUUCAAGCUUCUCAAACGCCAGGACAAGUUCAAAUGGACGGAAGAGGCAGAUGAGGCACUAACACAACUCAAAGACUUUUUGUCAAAGCCUCCUAUACUCACCGCUCCUUCUCCGAACGAAGACUUGCUCCUAUACAUCUCAGCUACUAACUACUCAUGUCGUCAGCACGGCAAUAGUAGUCGAAUGGUCUGAACCGGGCCACGCUUACAAGGUCCAACGACCUGUCUACUUCGUCAGCGAAGUACUCUCGGACUCUAAAACUCGGUAUUCACCGAUACAAAAGCUCUUAUACGCUAUUUUGCUCACCUCCCGGAAGCUGCGCCAUUACUUCCAUGAGCACAACAUCACAGUCAUCUCCGACUUCCCGCUCGGCGAAAUUCUCCACAACAGAGAUGCCACGGGUAGAAUCUCCAAAUGGGCAGUUGAACUCGGAGCUCUCACGUUGAACUUCAAGCCAAGGACAGCCAUCAAGUCCCAGGCUUUGGUCAACUUCAUAGCUGAAUGGACUGAAAAUCAAGUUCCAACACCAGUCGAUCGACCAGAACAUUGGAUAAUGUACUUCGACGGAUCCCUCAAACUUGAAGGAGCCAGCGCAGGCGUAUUACUCAUCUCCCCCAGGGGAGACCAGCUCAAGUACGUGCUGCAAAUACACUGGGAAGCAUCUAAUAACGAAGCCGAGUACGAAGCACUGCUACACGGCCUUCGCCUCGCAAUCUCCCUCGGCAUCAAACGACUACUGGUGUACGGCGACUCUCUAGUCGUUAUAAACCAGGUCAAUGACGAGUGGGACCGGAACAAGGAAAACAUGGACGCUUAUUGCAAAGAAGUCCGCAAACUGGAAACCAAGUUCUCUGGCUUGGAAUUUCAUCACAUCGUCCGCGACAACAACGUUGCCGCUGACGUCUUAUCCAAAAUAGGCUCUACUCGCGCAGAGGUUCCAGCAGGAAUCUUUGUACACGAACUGCGCAAGUCAUCCAUAUCCGACCAAGUCACACCGCCAGCAAUCCCGACUGCUGACGUCUCUCGAGAAAUCAUGAUGAUAGAAGUCGACUGGAGGACACCCUUCAUCGACUACAUCAAAGAUCACCAGCCACCAUCCGACAAAAAUAAAGCUAACCAAACCUCCCGACGAGUAAAAAAUUACGUUCUAGUCGGAGACAAGCUCUAAAGGAAAGGUGCAUCGUCUGGAGUACUCAUGAAGUGCGUCACCAGAGAAGAUGGCCAAGAAAUCCUAGAAGAGAUUCACAGAGGAAUCUAUGGCAACCACGCCUCUUCUAGGACACUAGUUGGCAAGGCUUUCAGAGCAGGCUUCUACUAGCCAAUGGCUCUGGCUGACGCCAAACAACUAGUUCAGAAAUGCAAAGGUUGUUAAUUCUUCAUAAAAUAGCAACAUGUACCGGCCUACAAGCUAGUCACAAUACCUCCAACAUGGCCGUUUGCCUGCUGAGGGCUCGACAUGAUAGGUCCGUUACCAACUGCGCCAGGAGGAUUCAACAGAGUACUCGUGGCAAUCGACAAAUUCACCAAAUGGAUCGAGGUCAAACCGGUCACUUGCCCCAAGGCAGACCGGGUCCUCGACUUCUUGGAUGAAAUCAUACACCGCUACGGUUUUCCCAACAGGAUUAUCACAGACCUAGGGUGAAACUUCAAUAACCACGACUUUUGGGAAUAUUGCAAGAACAGCAGCAUCGACGUCCGCUACGUCUCGGUUGCUCACCCGCGAGCCAACGAACAAGUCGAGCGUGCUAAUGGCAUGAUACUCGACGCCCUGAAGAAAAGACUACAUGACGUUGGCAACACCAGAGGUGGAAAAUGGCUCAAAGAGUUACCAAAUGCUUUGUGGGGUCUCCGUACCCAACCGUGCAAGACUACGGGGCUAUCACCUUAUUUCCUGGUAUAUGGCUUGGAAGCCAUAUUACCCGCUGACAUCAUGUGGCAAUCACCAUCCGUUGAACAAUACGACGAAGAACUGGCAACAGAAACACGGUGAACAGAUAUAGACAGUCUAGAAGAAACAAGAUGCGCAGCGCUAGUGCAAUCUGCCAGAUACCUUGACGGUUUAAGGCGUUACCACAACCGCAACGUCAAGGAGAGAUCUUUCAACUCGGGCGAUAUGGUCCUUAAGCGUAUCCAAGACACGUCAUGGUUGCAUAAACUCAAUUCACCAUGGGAAGGUCCUUACAUCGUAUCAAAGGUUACGGGACCGGGAUCUUACAGACUCCAAGAGCUCUCUGGAGAACAAGUACCAAACUCCUGGAAUAUAGAACAUCUCUGUUGCUAUUACCCAUAGUGGCAUCCGAGUAAUUACUCCAAGGCAAUAACUCAUGAUUACUACUCGGGCUAACUUCCCGACUACCGACUUCAAGAUACCUCAGCUUUGACAAGAGUUACCAACUCAACAAGGAUCACUGCCCUGGUACAAAAUCUCCGUAUCAAUAUUUCUUUACUGAAACAAGGAUACAUCGGGUUACAUACGAGUACAAGUACUCGGACUACACAAAGACUACAAGCAACUGCCUACUGGCGGGCUGCAUUUAAGCCUCAGGCUUUUACUAUAUCACAAGGCCACUCAGGUCCGCCGACCACAAGGGGAAGGGCCCACACGCAAGGAAGAUGCGCAAAACGUAGCCAUAUCCAGGUCCUCUACCCAAGGCAACGCCAGGAACUCCAACAUCGCCACUGCCUUGACAGCGGCAACGAUGAAUCCGGCAAGACACGCCUAGAGGGAACCAAGGCUGCUCUUUUGCUAGCCUUGCGGAGCCAAUCCAAUUUACGGCCACACCUCCACCUCUCAGAGGGCGGGAUGAAGACCGCGGCACUCACCACCCAUCACUCGCGAGUUCCAGCGCGUACUCCAUUGGAUCACGAGCUGCAAGAUGAGGCGUGCGGCGAAACCUCCUACGAGGAUUCUUCUAGCAUCGCGGCUAUCCCUUCGAACGCAGGAGUCUGUGGAGGGAAGGUGGCCUCAAUCUGCAAGGAAUCUUCUAGCACCGGUGCACUCUUUGAUGGCUCUCUACACUCAAAAAGAAGCAACCGAAGACAAUCCAUCGCUACUCAGGAACUUGUUUGGUUCGCUCUCCAACUGGCUCUAUUUAUAGCCGAAAGAUGCAACUACCACCUGCCCAAGGAUUACUAUGCGCCCGUGAUCAAUGAGUCUGACGACUCCUGACUCUGCCCACGUGACGGUACUUAUUCCACAAAGGACAAAAGAGUACAGUACACCCGUGCAUCCACAAAGGACAAAGGAGUAUAGUACACCCGUGUCCCUCAAAAGACGAGUACUCGACAGCAUUACGACUACUCGACACUCGGGACUACUACAAGCCAAGCGUGGCCUACGCUCUCACCAUUAUCCCGGGGCCUUGGACUACUCCGACCCCCUGCUCAGGGGUCGGGCACAUCCGACCCCAGGACUCAGGGUCGGGCGAAGCAGAGUUUUCCCCAAAAGGUCGGGCUCAGCCGACCCUAGGAUUUCGGGUCAGCUAGCACUGCGUAAAACUACUCUUCGCAAGACAAUCACCUCAAGCAACAAGUCCAAUGGCCAAGUAUUCAUUUAUCAAAAGUAUCGUUCAAAGUACUUGACCCAAAUACAAGAGUACAUACAAAGCUCAAGGCUCUUCUAAAGUGACAAACUCCGACAUCUUCGAUGCAAUAGGCUCCGCCUCCUCGAGGUACUACGCUUAUGCUUCUUCUGUGCAGUUGCGAGCCACGCCAUCACCAGCUGCUGUCAAGUCUGCCCUCAGAUAGUAGAACUUCACAACUGCAAGGACCUGUUUGCAAAUAGUUUUGCAGAGUCCCGCCACUCUACUCGGGGCAGCCUUCAAUCGUUCGACUAGUAAUUGCAGCCCUGCGCCUUCUUCCACGAGGGCUAUGGCGUUCACCAAGUCUUCAGCUGCUACAGUUAGCUCUUGGAGUUCGCUCCGAAGUCUUCCCAUGGUCUGGGCAUGAUCUCUGCAUGCCACCAUGGCCAUGGCAAGCAUCACGCCAUUUUGCAUCUUUCAGUCCCGCUGAUGUUCACAAGCAGCCUGUGCUUCCGUCAGCGCGGCCCGAAGAUGUUCGGCUUCAUCCACCACUCGGUCGAGAACUUGGCUCCUUGCAGCCGCCUCUUGCUUCUUGAGAUCUACAAGACAAGUUCAAUCACAACCGACUAUAGUUGGGCAUACUCAGAGUAGGGAAAAUACUUACCCUGAUAUUUCUUGUUCAGCGACUUGUAGCGGCUCUCCAGUUUUUGCUGCAGGACCGCAUGAUCCGUACGCUCCACAGCAAAAGAUUUUGCUCCAACUUUAUGAACCCUCAGAGCUUCCGUCAGUCGGGCACAUUCCUGCUCCAGUUGAUGACUUCGUUCCUGAAAAAGUCCGACUACGGAGUGGUGAGUUUCAAACCUCACAACUACUCGGGACAUGCAACAACUCAACAAGGAAAUUUACCUGGAAGCUCCGGAAAACAUCGAUGGCCUUCUGGAACUCCAAGUCAGAGGGCAGGCUAAGUACUGGUCUUUGGGUACUCUCCGCAAGAUGAGGAAUCGUACCCAUAGUAGCACCUACAACAUUUAUCAUGUCAGCUACCUGCUAUGACUACAAUAAAAAGACUACAGAGACAUACCCGGAGCAGUCGCUUGUUUGGCUUUUUCAACACCCACUACGGCCAGCGAUCCGCCAGCAGAUGUUGAUAAGGCAGCACUUCCUGAGCCCGAUGCAGCGGCGGGAACUUCCGCCGAACGGAUGACAUCUUGGAGCAUCGACAUGGUAGCUCCAAGACGACCGGCGUCAAACCCGGGCACCUCCUCAACGACUAAAUCCUCAAAAGGAACAGAUAUUGUAGUCGAGGGAUCCGACCCUACCCCUAUUUCUACAGGGAUAGUUUCCUCUGCAUCUCUGCACCAAAAUGCGUCACCACAUGAUUUCAAGCCAACUCAAAGUCAUUCAAACAGACAAGAAAGCUCACCGGAUUGAACGUGGCAGCAAUCGCACACGUUUCUUCUCGGCGAUAGGCGGCUGAGUACUGGGCGCCGCGGGAACAACUACCGGCGCUGUCUUCUCGCCAAGGCCUAUAAAGCCGAAGUCAAGACUACAGUACCACUCAAACAAAUACAAUCGGAAGGGACAAUGCUUACCACUGGCGAUCACAUUGGACAGCAAAGUACCAGUAGCAAGUACUGGCGACACCUCCUUUGCAACACCCACUACUCCAGCAGACAGCCCCAGGACCGCUUGGUCAGCAAAGGGCAGCAUGGCAGCCGACGGAGCCGCUGAGGAUAGCUCAGGGGCUACUCCAACUUCUGUUGACAGCACCUUCUCCGACACCAUGUCAACAGAUACAUUGCCGACUUCUGGGUCGAUCACGACCAUUUCUUCAAAAACAGCCUCAUCAUCACCAAGCGCCGUAUCUACAGUCUUUACGAACAAGACAAAAUUCGUCGCAUCAUUAGCAAGUUCAAAUUCAUCAGCUACAGAUACGUUCACGACUACAUACCUUGGUACCCCGAGACUUUUCAGGGGUUGAAGCAGACUUAGCCACAGACAUCUUACGGACUACUCUGCGUCUCUUAACAGGAGGAGAAGGCUCGUCCUCCGACUCCUCAGCGACAGCUUCUGACUCUUCUUCCGACUGCGCUAAGUAGCCAGCAAGAACUCAAGACUACAAACAUCAAGUCGGUAUCAACAACAAAUAAGUCAAAAGAGAACAAGUCAGGUGCAAAAGACAUACCACUUCUGGCUCAUACCAGGCGUCAUACUGACGUAGAGCCGCAGGGAUUACUGGUACUCCCUGAUAGUUCCUGAAAAACUUGGCCAGCAACGCCUCUACAUCAUCAUCGGAUAUAUCUUCAUCGGACAUAUGCGAUGGAUCUUUAAGACCUGUGUACUCACUUCCCGAGUGAGCACGUUUUUGAAGCGGCUGGACUCUUCUCUUCAGAAAACUGCUCGCCACAUGAAUUCCAGUAAGACCGAGUGCCUUCAACUCGGUAAUCUGUUGCAUCAAGUGGUCAAGUUCCGGGGUGUCUUCGGGUUCGCUCACCCAGUUUUCCGCGUGUUUGGGCGCGUGACCAGUCACCACAGGCAGGCAAGGGUCGUGGUUCCCAAUAUAGAACCACCUCUUCUUCCACUCACCAUGGGAAUCAGUCAAGUUGUACUCAAUGUAUGCACCCGAGUUCCUAAGUUGGAACCCAGCGCCUCCGAAGACUUCUGUCCUAUGGACACUAGGCUGCGGCUUACAGCGGAACAACUUCCUAAACAACUCGAGGCUUGGAGGAACUCCCAAAUAAACUUCGCAGAGGUGUACGAAAAUGGACAUAUGCAGGACAUCAUUGGGGUUCAAAUGAACAAGUUGAAGCUUAUAGUACUUGAGGAUACCUCUGAAGAAAUCGGAGGUGGGCACUGCCAACCCCCUCUCCACAAAGUGUGCGAGCAUCACUGUCUCACCUGGAUGUUCCUCAAAUUGCCACGCAUUUGGAAAAGCUGGGCGCCACUCGAGUAUUUCCUACGGCUGUAGAAGCUUGGCGUCGACUAGUGCUUGCACGGCCUCCUCCUUCAUCACCGAAUGCUGCCACGUCACUCCAGGCGGCGGCGGCGCAGUCUGAUUCAUCGGCCCCACCUUCGGCGCCAACAACACCAGUUCUUUCCCCUUCUUGGACUUCACCUUGCCCGCCGCCGGAGCCUUGCCCUGGAUCUUCUCGGGUUUCUUGCCCAUCUUUUUGGUGCGCAUCUGCCGAUUUCAACCUCAGCAAAAGGCACUCACUCUCGGAUCUCUCUCAAAGGGGAGCAAUAGCGGCGGUGGUAUUUGGCAAUGGCGACGGCGCAAGCGUGAAGCAGAGGCACGGGGGAGGAAGAAAAGCAGAUCUGAUUACUGCAGGGGGUAAACCUAACCGAAAGGGGGCCCUCCAGUUUUAUCUCCGCCACCUCCGGUUUUCAUGCGUCAGUUGCGCAACGGACAGAUUAAUUGCAGAUUAAUCGCCUUUAACACUCAACGGCUACUCUUUUCAACGGACUGCUGACCACUUCAACGACAGAGAUCACCCAAGUGCUCGGGGGCUGCGGGUACCGUACCCGUUGGUCAGGUUUUUCUUUUUUCCAAGAUCUCCAAGGGUAAAAUGGACAAAAGCUGGUUCGACCCUAAGCCUGACCCUUCGACUCAACCUAAGGCUCGGGGGCUACUCCAUAUGGAGUGUGAUUGACAUCGCACUACCAUAUAAAAUUACUCGGGACGGAAACAACUCGAAGGAGCAAAAAGAGUACCUUCUAGCCACGUGACAGUACUCGAGCACUUCAGUCUGCAACCUCUACGACUAGCUACUCGGAUAGUGCCCGCAGUGCCCAAGACUGUGGCGCACGACUACAAAGUACUCGGGGGCUUGUCGGGCAUACACCCUAGGUCCACGAGUAGGCCUUGGACGGCCCACCAAGGGACGUACUCGGACAAGAUCAGAACAGGAUGAGCGUAUCCUACUCGGACUAGUCAAGUAUGUUUAUGGAAAACUACUCAGUCCAUUACCGAGUAGAACUCUGUAAUAGUACCCGACUAGGACUCAGACUUGUAACCCUGCCCUCCCGUGUAUAUAAGGGCGGGCAGGGACCCCUUUCAACACCCAACCGGGACAGACCUCAACACACGAGGACAACUCCAGUUCAUCAAAUACAAACCAACACACAGGACAUAGGGUAUUACGCGAUCUAGCGGCCCGAACCUGUCUAAAUCGUGUUCCUUACGUCACCAUUGAUUCCUUGAUUCUCGACGACCCUUACCGCAUAAAAGACCACCUCGGUUACCCCCUAGGCGGGUUGCUGGUCUAAAACACCGACAUCUACUUCUUUUGGUAGACAUCUUGUAACAACUAAGCAAGCAAUAAUAUCACAUUAAGCACAAAAACUUGGUGAAUUUAUGAAGUUUUCAGCAUAUUUCUUUUCAGUAUUCACACAAAGUAAAAUACAUGAAGUGCCUUUGCGGCACAAAGAAGCCAUGCUUCCCCAAGGGGUGCAUCAUGGGCUAAACAUUUGCAAUGAUACCUAGAUCUUUGACCCAAUUGAAAAGAACAUGGAUUCCAAACAUAAGCUAGAUAUGGAAUCAGUAUUCAAUCAAGGGCAAACCAUAACCAAGCAUCUACUCAUGGGUGAUAAGCAAGUUAAUAGAGUAGAAUUUAGCAUUGAAUUUCAAAAACAGUUAUCUCAACAAGUGUACAAUAUCAUCCAGAGCAUAACUGCACAUUGCAUCAAAAUCACCAACCACAGCACUAGCUCACAAGUAGCAUAAGGGAGUACACAAGAUAUAUAGGAGAAGCUCAUCUAGUGCAACAUGAUACAAAAUGCAAUAUGAUAUAAAAAGCAUGGAAACUAAGCUAAAAUGAUAUAGAUGAACAACAUGCCAUACCCAAAUGUGAACUAAGGUAAAGCAUGACAUGAUGUUCAUAUGUAUCAUCCACCACAAUAUAUCACAAAAGAUAGCAUGAUAAGCUAUACAUGAAGAACUCAAAGCUAUCAUGAAGAAGUGGCUAUCCUACCAUGUUUUGUACAAAAAUCAUACAAGUAUAAUACAAGAGAAGCUCCAAAACCCAACUCAGAAAGGAAAGCAAACACCCAACUCCCCCCGCAAACGAGCAAAAGUGGCUUGAUCCAGGAGUUUGGUGAAAAUGUCCGCGAGUUGGUUUUGGGUAGCAACAUAGCCAAGGUCAAUGUCCCCUCUCUCAACAUGAUCUCUCAGAAAAUGAUAUCUCACAUCAAUGUGUUUGGUUUUUGAGCGGAGAACGGGGUUCUUGGCUACAUUAAUUGCACUCGUGCUAUCACAAAGAAGAGGUACACGAGUAAAAUCCAAACCAAAGUCUCUCAAAGUGGAAAUCAUCCAAAGCAGCUGAGAACAGCAGCUAGCAGCAGCAACAUACUCAGCUUCGGUGGUAGACUGAGCAACACUAGAUUGUUUGCGAGAAGACCAAGAGACCAAAGACGAACCGAGAAACUGGCAAGUACCCGAGGUAGACUUACGAUCCAAGCGACACCCAGCAAAGUCCGCAUCGGAGUAUCCCCGGAGCGUGAGUGUUGAGGAGGCAGAAUACCACAAACCGAACUCAGGGGUAAAGCGGAGAUACCUCAUGAUCCUCUUCACUGCCUGACGGUGAGAUGUCCUCGGUGAAGCCUGAAAACGAGCGCACAGACACACGGCGAAGUGAAUGUCCGGCCUCGUCGCCGUCAGGUACAAGAGGGAGCCGAUCAUGCUUCUGUACUCCUUCUGGUCCACCGGUUCGCCAUCUUCAUCCGCAUCUAGUGCCGUUGUCGUCCCCAUGGGUGUGGAGAGUGGCUUAGCAUCAGCCAUGUCAAACUUUCUCAACACGUCCUUCGUGUACUUCCCUUGGUGCAUGAAGGUUCCUUCCUUGCUUUGCUUGAUCUGUAGCUCGAGGAAGAAGGUCAACUCACCCAUCAUCGACAUCUCGAACUCCCUGCUCAUGUCAUCUGCAAACUUGGCAACCAAAGCAUGAGAAGAACCACCAAAAAUAAUAUCAUCCACGUAUAUUUGAAUAAUUAAUAAGUCAUUGCCUUGCCUGAGGAGAAAGAGUGUUUUAUCAACUGAUCCCAUUUCAAACCCAUUCCCAAGCAAAAAGGAUUUCAAUCUAGCAUACCACGCUCGAGGUGCUUGUUUUAGGCCAUAGAGAGCUUUCUGGAGUUUGAAAACACGAUCAGGAUAUUUAGGACUCUCAAAACCAGGGGGUUGUUUCACAUACACUUCCUCCUCUAUGAAACCAUUUAGGAAGACACUUUUCACAUCCAUUUGGAAGAGCUUAAAACCUUUAGCCACAGAGAAGGCUAGAAGGAUUCUAAUCGCUUCCAAAUGAGCAACAGGGGCAAAGGUUUCCUCAUAAUCUAUCCCCUCUUUUUGGCUAAAGCCUCGGACAACCAACCUCGCUUUCUUUCUCACAAUCAACCCAUCCUCACCUUGUUUGUUUUUGAAAACCCAUUUUGUUCCUAUAGGAUGGCAAUUUGGAGGUGGUUCAACUAAAACCCAAACCCUGUUUCGCUCAAAGUUCUCCAACUCCUCAUGCAUGGCAUUAACCCAAUUUGAAUCAGAUAAAGCAUGUCCAAUAUCUCGAGGUUCGAAAGAGGCAACAAAUGCAGAAUGUGCAAUGUGUGAAAUCUGCCUAGAGCUAUGCCUAGUGGUGCGUUCAUGUAAGUUACCGAUCAUCUGUUGUGGAGGAUGACGACGCUGAAUGUGCCGUGGAGCCUCUCGCUCUGAAGUCGCCUCCCCCUCAACAGCAGCUGGAUCACUCUGAUCUUCUUCUUCAUCAUCCUGUAGUGGUACUGGUUGAUGGCUUGAAGUAGUGGAAGUAGAGGUAGGACCAUCAACUCUCGUAGUCGAAGUAGAAGGUACAGGUGCAAUAGCUGGAGCUCGGUCAAUCUCAUCAUCCUCUUCCUCACCACCAUCUACACGCUCUUCCCCUUCCUCAAAUAUGCUUUGCCCCAUUUCAUGUUCACCUGCAACUUCAAAAAUAGGAGUUGUGCAAGGCAUAGUUUCAUCGAAAGUAAUCUCACAAGUUUUCACGAUCCGGUUAGUUUCAAGGUUAAGCACACGAUAAGCACGACUAUGAGAAGCAUAACCAAGAAAAAUCCCAUCCGUAGAACGAGACUCAAAUUUAUCCAAAUUUCCUUGCUUGAGAAUGAAACACUUGCAGCCAAACACCCUCAGGUGACUCACUUUGGGGGAACGUCGAUGCAUCAGCUCAUAGGAAGUUUUCUUUAGGAAAGCUCGCAAAAAGAUUCGAUUGGACACAUAGCAAGCAGUGUUGACGGCUUCGGCCCAAUAUUUUCUAGGAGUCCUAUGCUCAUCAAGCAUCGUCCUAGCCAUUUCACAAAGGGUCCGAUUCUUCCAUUCAACAACACCAUUCUGAGGAGGGACAUAAGGCAAUGAAAACUGGUGUUCAAGACCAAGAUCAUUGCAAAAGGUUUUAAAACGAGCGUUCUUGAAUUCUGUGCCAUUGUCACUGCGGAUAGUUCUCAUGGCAUCUUUUGGUCGCUCGUUUCUCAACCUCAAGAUCAAAUCUCGAACAAAUGGAAAUGCCUCAUCCUUAGACUCCAUGAAGAAAACCCAUGAAUACCUUGAAAAAUCAUCAACGAUCACAAGCACAUACCAUUUCCCACCAACUGAGCAAACACGAGCUGGACCAACAGUGUCCAUAUGUAACAGCUCGCAUGGAUGCUUAGUCAUCACCUGAUUCACAUGUGGAUGAGAAGCGGCAACCAUUUUCCCAUGUCGACAGGGAGCACAAACAAGAUCUUUCUCAAACUUUAAUUUGGGCAAACCACGAAUAAGAUCCAAAGUACUCAAGCAGGAAAGCAAAUCAAAGCUCAAAUGACCCAAUCUCCUAUGCCACUUCCAAAGCUCAGAAGAUGAGCCAGCCACUAAACACCGAGAGAGACCAAAUGACUUGGAAAAAUCAACUCGAAACACUUGACCCUCGGGGACGAUCAUACAAACAAGAUCGCCUCGAGAGUCUAAAAUCCUUGAGGUCCCUUGUUUAAAACGGACCUCAAAACCAUCAUCAAGCAAUUGCGACAUAGAGAGCAAAUUGAAACCAAGAGAAUCAACAAGAGCAACUCGCUUGAGCAUGAAAUUCUCACUCACCUUGAUAACACCUUCAGACAACACCUUACCUUUGCUAUUAUCCCCGAAAGUGAUGUACUCCUUGGUCAUCACCGGGGUGAGGCUGGAGAACUACCUGUGAUCACCGGUCAUGUGUCGAGAGCAACCGGAAUCAAUAAGCCACGUGUUCUCCAGGCCUCCGACCUCAGUUUCUGUGUCAGAGUCACUUUCCUUGUCAUCCUUCUUGGAGUUGAGAGCCAUGACACAGUACCCGUCGCGGUUCUUGCCGGAGUAGAAGUAGAGGCCAUUGAAGUUCUUGCCGUCCUUCUUCUUUGCCUUGCGGUCGUCGUCCUCCUCGCUUGAGCUUGAGUCGGUGUGGUCGUCGGUGUCGGAGUCGACGUCGCUGAGGGAGGCGAUGAAGGCACGCGCUUUGGCCUUCUUGCGAUACUCCUUCUUCUCACGGUCGGUGUACUUCUUCUUCUUCUUAGUGCCAACCUUGUUCUUGUGCUUGUUGUAGUCGUACUUGCUCUUGGAUUUGUUCUUGUCAGGGCAGUCGGCGGCGACAUGUCCUAGCUUCCCACAGUCGAAGCAGUUGUUGUUGUUCCUUCGCUUGUUCUUGCAAUUGUCGUUGAAGCGCAUGAAUCGCCUCGUGAUCAAGGCGAGCUCAUCAUCAUCAAGAAACUCCAGCUGCUCCUCUGAAACAGAAACCAAAGAAGACAAGGCAAACAACAUAGAAGAAGAGUUACUCAAAGACUUAGGCUAUCCAGAGCCUGACAUGAGAGCCAUACUAUUUGGAUCAGUAGGGACUCCUUGUUUUGCUCGGAGCCUCUUGUCAACUUCCGUGGAUUUCAACUUGGCAAAGAGUUCAUCAGUGGAAAGUGUUUCAUAAUUGGGUGACUCGAUGAUAGCAUCAACCUUCGUACCCCACACUUCAUGAUCCAAGGCAUGCAGGAGCUUUAAAGCUCUAUCAUGAUCAGUGUAGGGUAAGACGGUGAUAUUUGCUUUCAUCUUGUUCACAAUAGCCAAGAAACGCUGAAACAAAGCAUCGGCAGACUCACCAGGCAAAUGAACAAAGUUUUCAUACUCACACCUAUAAGUCUCAAAGAGUCUAGCCUUCACCUGACUGUUUCCCUCAUGGAAACUCUGAAGUCGAGACCAAAUCUCAUGAGCAAGAGACAGAUCUUCGACUCGAUCAAACUCAGCACGACUCAGACUCGCAAACAGAAUAUCAAGCGCCUUGCUGUUGGCGUGAUACUUCUCCCUAUCAUCCUGAGUCACACGAGUAGUAGGAAUCACAUAAGUCACAUCCUGAGUGAUUUCCCAAACCCAUGCUCCUCUACUAUUUAGAUGGGCUCUCAUACGAGUUUUCCAAUACCGAUAGUCAGAGCCAUCAAAGUAGGGUGCAGCGGUCGAGGAAGAACGCUUAGAGGUCACCAUAAUAGGUUUCGAAACCGAUUAGGGUAUGGAGAAACCUUAACCGGCUCUGAUACCAAUUGAAGGACCGAAAGAGCGACCAGAGGGGGGGUGAAUGGGAGCCUAUAAAAAUUCUCAACGAGAACAAGGCCUAUAUCCCAAACGCAACCUCAAAGCACACCGUGUGUUUAAUCGUCAAGAUGACGCAAGUCAACUCGUGACAAGCUCACCCUAGGAACGAUAAGAGACGCACAAAACAUAGCGGAAGCAAGAUAUGAAUUGACUCCAACAAGUUUUCUCAACACCCGGUUAACCAAGAUUACUACUAGCUAAUUAUCUAACUAAGCAUGCAUAAUCAAAGAUUAAUUUAAGUGCUAGGCAUGACUAGCAAAGAGUGAUAAAAAAACUAACGCAAGUACCACUGAUUAGCAAGAGACACUAGAGAUUAAAAUGCUAAACAAAAUAACAAAGAUUAAUUAGCAAUGGCAUGAAUCAACUAACGACCCAAAAGGAGGUGCUCACUGUGCUGGACGUUCGCAUGGUAUGCUAGUGGAUUUUUUUUCUUGCGGUCUGGUGCUCCUGGUGACCUGCGCUGGCCCACUUGGCCUGGUGGCCGGCCUGAGCAGCAAGCAGGCUUGAACUGGGCCGCGUGCUGCUGCCACCUCGCCCGGGCCUGCUUGGCAUACGCUGGGCCUCAAGCACCUGAGCACAGCUGGGCCACCUUUCACGUGCGAGCUAGACCGCUGACCAGGCUGCUCGCUCCACGCACGUGAGCGCUUGCUGCCUGCCCCUUCCCGGUGGAACGAUUCCUGCGAAUGAACAGAGACGAACAGAACAAGAACACAAGAAGAACAGCCGAGACUUCAAAUCAUAAGAUCUCCUCCCAUACUUCACAGAUCGAGAUGAAACUUGAGACAAGGAUGCAAUACCCCAAGGGCAAAUAGAUCUAUAAAGCAAAUCCUGAAAAAACUCAAGUAUACAUCACUAAUCUUGGAGAAAACCGAAACCCUAACUCAAGAACACGAUUUGGAAGAAAUUAGAAAUCCAAGCCGGAUCCGUGAGAGAUUUAGAAGGGGAUCAUAUCAAAGAUGCUCUCUAAGGUCUUAGCAACAUUUCCGUUCAACCAAUCUCAUGAUAUUCGGGCUCAAACGUGAUGAACGAAAAUUCCCCAAAAAUAGUUCCGAAAAUAGGGAAAAAGAAAAACACUCGGGAAUCAAAGAUUUAGCACAAUUUGAGAUAACAAAUAAAGCUAAAUCACGAGAACAUCUUCUAUACCAGAUGAGGAACUAGCCUCCUCCCUUCAUCCACCCACUAAAGAUAAAGAAAUCAAGAGAAAAGAGUAAUCACUCUCUAAUCUCCCUCUCUCCUCUCACUUGCACAUGACUAGCCUCUAAGCCAAAAGAUAAUGAGUUGCUAAGCAAAAAGGUACUGAAAUAACCAGCCCCCAACCCUAUUUAUAGUCCAGGACGAAAGACUAUACUACCCCUACAGCUACAACUAAGAUAACUACCCACACAGGGGUAUUUUGGUCCAAGUUUUUAUCGGCGCAUCGAACGGACACGCCACCUUCACGACUUUGCUUCACCUCGACGCAAGCUUCGCGAUGACGCCACGUGCCCUCCUUCUCGAAGCUCCGGCCGCCCCGGGCUCGCCCCCGGUUUUGAGGCCCAAACCGGGAAACCUGCCUGUGCGGUGGUUUUGAGGCCCAAACCACCCAAACCGUCCAUCUUCGCUUGGCCGCCACGCGACCUCCUCGAUAUCGACGCGUGUCCGGCCUCCGCCAAGCCUCCCGCUUUACUCGACCGACACCGUCUCCAUCCUGUCAUGCCCUCUCGCCAUUCCGUGCACCAUGUGGACCGGCCAUGACUUCGCCUGGACUCCUCGGGUCCAUCGGUCCAAACCUACUCGCGUUCAUCCUUCACCGCCCUUGGUUCAUCAGCAUGAACCUUUCACUUGACCUUCACCGCACGCCAUCGACCGCCACGUCGCAUCCUACACCUGCACAUCACAAGCCAAGAGCAACAUCAAACCAACAUAACGUUGUCAAUUACUCAUCAUCCAAGGGUGACCACCAUUGGUCCUCAGAGAUAUAUGCUUUAACUGUCUCUAUAUAAUUGAUAUAUAUGGUUAGAUACGUCAUUCUGUGGUAGCACCUCGCGAUCACAAUGUGUGCCUCUAUAUAUGUUGUGCCAAUGCGCAGUCCAUUCGAGGGAGUACCAUAGCGUGGCUGAACUACUACUGAAAAUGAAAGGCCUAGACUCCUGCAACAGCACAGUAUACCCCUAUGUCUACAACCUGACUUCCUCCUACAUCGACCAGAACAAUGAGGCCACCAUGGUGACCACCACCUUGGUCAUGUUUAUGCUGGCCGUGUUCUUCUUCAACCUCAACCUCUUCAGCCGCUUCUCCGACGUGAGCGCAAUUCUCAACCCUAGCGUCCGCCUCUUCCUCUCCACCUCCCUGUCCCUCUUCCUGCCGGUCAUGUCCUACCUCUUCUCCGAGGCCAAGAACCAAGGUGCAACCACGGCUGCUAGUUAUGGCCAGGUCGGCGACGAGCUGUCACUUCGAGCUAGGACGAUCCUCAUGUGGAUGCUUCUUGUGGAGCUCCUCCGCAAGAAGGUGGAGGCCGUCCUGGUCAACGUGGGCAUGCAGUGGUACUCAGGCGCCAUCGAUCGCUUCGCCCGCAUUGUUUGGCUCGGCUACCUCGUCUUCUACAAUGUCAAAAGCCCUGGCAAGAAGGCGAUCUACGGCACCUUAUGGGUCCUCACUGCUGCCAAAUUCCUGCAAAGGGUCGUGGUCAAGAUGGUGCUGGAGCGUUCCUUCGCCUACGGAAGGAACACCCAGCUGCUAAACUCAUACAUGGCCCAGAUCAUCCAACAAGAGCAAGAGGAGCACGUGGGAUCGUCGUCGGAGCUGUUGAAGAAGUGCGAGUACACUGUGAUGGGAGAAGACAACCUGGAGAGGACGGCUGGCCGGCAUGGCUACCAGGUCGAGCUGAACAAGGCAGCCGUUGUCACCGUUGGUGACAUUUGGACGCAGGCAGCAGCCGAGCCGGACAGCCUCCUCCGGAGAGAACACCUCAGAAGACUCUGCCUCUCCUUUGCUCUCUACAAGCUGCUGCGCCGAAGGUUCGAGGACAUUCCCACAACAAGAGAGGAGACCCGGAACUGCCGGAACCUCAUCUUCAAGGGCAUGUUGAAGGAGGAGGCGGAGAAAGGUGCCGAGGUCGCACUGUUCCAAGUUUUCAACGAUGAGACCCAGUUCGUUUGCGAGUACUACCAUUCCGUCCUACCCGUCGUGUUGUCCAACCCUUUCUUCUUCCUAGCCAACUACAUCUUGUUUCCCAUUGUAGUUUGUGCCUUCUGCCUCCUAACAUUCAUCAUUUGUGGCAAUGGGAGCGUGCCCUACGCCUACCACAGCAUCGUAAGUGACAACUACAUCAUAUACACUGGCGCGACGACGCUGGCCAGAUGCCUCCUGAGAAACAUCGCCCAUUCACCCGAGGUGCUGUUCGCCAGCAUCGACCUAGGCACCACCACUCUGCUCAUCCUGGCCUUCGUCUACGAGGAAGUCAUGGAGUUCCUCGUCUUUAUCCUCUCCAAUUGGCUCAUCGUGUCGCUCCUCUGCGAGUACACCGCCAAGCUCCACUGGCGGCAGAGCCGCAUCCUGUGCUGGCUCAUCCGCGGCAUCCUGUGGGUGCGAAGCAUGCUAAGCCACCCUAACUUCUGCUUCAAGCAGCUCUCCGUGCUAGGGUUCUUCCAACUGUCGUCGCCUUCGCCGUUCAUGGUGCCAACCAAGGCAGUGCCAAAGGAAGUAAUGAAGUCAAUCGUGGAUUAUCUGGUGGCUCACUUGGAUGUCUAUGGCAUCGAUGGCCAUGCCGACCCUCUCAAUUCGGCCUGGUCCUCCACACUGCAACUGGAGAAGCACAGGGCAUACCGUCCCCUGCUCUUGCCAGUGUGUGAGAGCAAGAGCAUUGCUGAGUUCAUCCUCACCUGUCACAUUGCCACCGGCCUAAUGGAGGUGAGGUAUCCACAGGACGAAAAGGAAAUGAGAUCUCAUAGCAAGGUGGCGACGACGCUGUCCAAGUACUGCGCCUACUUGGUGGGCUUUUACCCGGGGCUUCUUCCGGACGACAAGAAUGGGACAGAGCACACUUACAAGAAGAUGAAGGAGGACAUGAAUAAGGAGCUUGGAGGGUGCUGGUGGUACCACCUGUCGCUGCAGGGAACCAGGUACAAGAGGCUGAUGGAGAUCGGCAAAUCGAAGCAAAAGGCCGUGACAAUGGUGCACAACGGGGCCAAGUUAGGGACAGCACUGAUCGAGAAGGCCGAGGAGAACAAUGAGGCGCGUGAGCGUGUGUGGGAGCUGCUGAACGACCUUUGGACGGAGGUCAUGGUGUAUGUGGCGCCAUCGGCCGGCGACCUCCACGUGAAGGCCCACAAGGAGGCGCUGGCGCGCGGCGGUGAGUUCAUCACCGUGCUCUGGGUGCUGUGUACGCACACUGGCAUGACCAGGACGGCCCUCGCACCGUGGGAGGUAGCACGUCGUGCGUUUGAACCAUAGAGCAUUCGCUUCCCGUGUGUGCCGAUUUUUCAAGGACAGCUUGCUUGGGAUGGUUCGUCUGACGUGCUUCAUCCUGGUGCUAAAAAAGUCUUCCGGAGCCUCAAAUUUGAACCGGGUACUAAUACUAAUAUUAGUACCGGGUUAAAAUUUGACCGGUACUAAGAGAGUGAAUGAAAUGUCAUUUUUCAAGUAGUGUAUAUUAAAAAUAGAUAUAUAACCACCCCAUGUGAAUGCACGGGAUGAUGCCAGUAAUUCCUAAAGAUAUGCGCUGGGGUGGGGUGCCGGCUUAAAAAGACCGGAAAGAAACGUAGAUAUGGCACACACAUGCUUGAUCUUUGUCGGUGCUUUAACUGUCUCUAUAAAAUUGAUAUGGUUAGAUAUGUUAUUCCGUGUGAAGGACCGAAACGGCGAUCAGAGAGGGGUUGAAUGGGAGCCUCAAAUGUUUCUUUUUAAAACUUAGGCAACAAUCCAAAAACAAACCUCAAAUCAAAACAAGCGGAAGAGGAGAGAUCCACGAGCCACCAAGGUAGCUAGGUGUCUAUGAUAAUGGUUAAAAGACAUAGCGGGACUCUCGAGAAACACCCAGAGCAAAAACUAUGACAAAAAAAGCUCAAGGUAGAGCAAUUCUGUGAGCUCUAGACGGAUGGUCCGCACCCCAGGGGCGGACGGUCAGGCCCAAGCGGACGGUCAGGCCCAAGCGGACAGUCUGCCCUAGGGGGCGGACGGUCUGCCCCUACCACGCAUAAUUCCUUGAAAACGUUGCACGAGCACAAAAACGCCCAAAACUUGAUCGGAUCAAGUCCAAAUGUAACUAAAAUUGAACCAAAGUAUCUCAAGGUAGUAAAGAAGCUACUCCUAAGAAAUCAUCCCUCUAAGAAAUCAUCCCUCAAAGAUUUUUCAAUGAAUGGGAAACAUCAAAUCAUGUUAAGAACGCCACUUUUUCAACCCUGAAACUUGAAUUGGCCCGAUCUAUGAACUCGUGUGGUUUCAAUCGAAUUCCUUCGCUGGAAGGGAUCAACUCACAUCCUAGUUCAUUUCAAAUCCAUUGGUUUGACUCAAAACCCCACAAAAAUCACAAAUCAAACAAAACCGUGAGAGGAGUGAAGAAGAAAAUAAGAACGUGAAGAACACAAAUGGGAAUUGCACAAAGAGAUCAUCUCCAAAAUCCCAGAGGACACGAGGAGGUCAGGGCCUCCAUUCCCGCAACAAAACUUCGGUUCACUACACGGAUUCAGUGUUCAAAUCAUCCGAGCACAUCUAGAGAGAUUAGAGAGGGAGAGGAACUAACUCUAAUCUAAGGAUAAUGAAGCACUAAGCUAGAGAUGAAGGAGAUGCUAAUGAAGUGCUCAAGAGGUCCUGAAACAACCAGCUCCCAUCUCUAUCUAUAGUACAAGACUAGUCACUAAAUUAACCCUAACACUACUACUAGGAUAACUACCCACGCAGGAGUAUUUUGGUCCAAGUUUUUCUGUUCUCAUCGGACGGACACGCCGCCUUCACGACUUUGCUUUGCCUCGACGCAACCUUCGCGAUGGUGCCACAUGUCCUCCUUCUCGAAGCUCUAGCCACACUGGGCUCGCCUCUAGUUUUGAGGCCAAAACCGGCAAACCUAUCUGCACGUUGGUUUUGAGGCCCAAACCACCCAAACCGUCCAUCUUGUCUUGGCCGCCACGCGACCUCCUCGAUGUCGACGCAUGUCCGGCCUCCGCCAAGCCUCCCGCUUGACUCAACCAACACCGUCUCCAUCCAGCCAUGUUCUCCCGCCGUUUAGUGCACCAUAUGGACCGCCCAGGACUCCGCCCGAACUCCUCGGGUCCAUCGGUCCAAGCCUACUCGCGUUCAUCCUUCACCGCCCUUGGUCCAUCGGCAUGAACCUUUUACUUGACCUUCUCCUCACGCCAUCGGCCGCCACACCGCAUCCAACACCUGCAUGUCAUAGACCAAGAGCAACAUCAUUCCUACACAACGUUGUCAAUCACUCAUCAUCCAAGGGUGACCACCAUUGGUCCUCAAUCUCCCCCUUGAUGAGUGUAUUGACAACACCCAACACAAAUUCAUAGUUCAAAGAGAAAGAAAAAAAGAAACUCAAACCACGAAGUCUUAGUCCCCUAAGACAAGGACAAUGACUCUACACAACUGAGACAAGAAAACACAUGAUCCUUCAAGAAGAGGCAGAAAUGGCUCAACACCAAUCAUGUGAAGAUCACAAGCUCAAAUCACACACCGGCUCCACAAGAAGAGGUAAAAAGCUCAACACGACCAGUAAAAGAGCAAAUCAACCAAAGGAUCCUCAAGAAGAGGUAAACAGCUCAACGCGACCGGCAAAAAGAGCACACGAGCAUAAAAGCUCACACAUACUCCCCCUAAACAAAUGCACUCCCCUGAAAAUAUGCAAUUUCUCACCAAAUGAAUUUGUAUAAUAGCCCACACGAGCAUAAAAACUAACACAUACUCCCCCUUAACAAAUGCACUCCCCUUGAAAACAUGCAAUUUCUCCCCAAAUGAAUUUGUAUAAAAGCCUCCCCCUUUGAAAGUCUCCCCCUUGUUGACAAUGCAAACAUCAAGAGUAGCAAGAGAACACAGAAAUGCAUAUCAUGAGAUGCCGAAUCUACCAAGGUAAACAAAUACACCACACAACACUCACAAAGGCUACGAGUUCAUCCAAUGACAGGUAGAUCAUAGAAAGUAGUUGCAUCGCCAUCAAGAGGAUAUUAUGAUAUAAGCAUAAGGCAUAGCAUAUGUCUAGUUUUAGGAAUUUGCAAAAAGAAGAUACAAGCAGGAAAGAACUAAUCCAUCAAAGCUCAUACAAGGAAGAUACAUUCUCAGCAAGAGAUCAUUGCAAACACCCACAUAUACAUCACAAGUCAUGUCAAAGCUUGUUGAAACCAUGUACUUACUUUUGUUUAGCAGACAUCAUAUAACAACUAAGCAAUCAAAAGCUCUCAAAAGCUCGAAGGUCAUCUACCACUGACAUAGAUGCAGCCUGGAGGUUGAAGAUGAGGACUUUUCACUUUAGCCCUCGAAGAAAAAGGAAAUCCUAAUCUAAAAGUGUGUCUUGUAGGUUUCAUGAAAAAGUUUUCAGAAAGUUUAGAUUAUCGCGGUCCAAUCUGUCUUUAAGCUUUUGCGCGUUAGCCCUCAAGUUUCUAUACAAAAUUAGGUUUGUGCCAUCGGUUUCUCGCAUUUUAGCACUUGGAAGCUUCUAACCCUCGCCAGCAAGUCCUUAUAUCUUCUUUAAGUUGGGGGUAGCUGAGAGUAGAGGGGAGAGGGAGAGGGCGGUGGCGGGAGAGGGAGGGGGCGGCGGCAAGAGAGGAAGGGGAGAGAGACGGACGGUGUGUGGGGGGAUGGGGGAGCGGAUAAGGAGAGGCCGGUGCGCAAGGUGGGUGUUGGGUCUUUAGUACCGGGUGGCAUUUAGUACUGGAUGGAGACUCCACCCAGUACUAAAAGCACUCGGUUCCAUCUAUGAGCAUAUCUAGAUGACAGGGAAGCACUUACCCUGCUUGGCUAACCACUGCCUUGGUGACAAGGCAUACCUAAGUACCCACAGCUAAACCUUAUUGCCUGAAGGUCAUCGCAUCUGUCAAAUUUCAGUGAGUUAAAAUUUGACAUGCCAUAAGUAGGAUUAAGCAGCCUGUUUUAAGCGGCUAGCUAGUAGUACCCACUUGGUUUUUUAUUGGUUAUGGAAGUCCUCUUGUCAGCACAAACAUAAAGUUUUCUUUGUUGCUGCUCAAGGACAGGUUAGGCAUCGUGAAUCUACUUUGAAGAAGAAACAUGGAUCUUCCAUCAUACGACUGUGUUUUGCUCUCAUGCAAUUGACGAAUCCUUGAUUCAUCUCUUUAGUUCCUUGGUUGCCCCUUUGCACACUGCUAGGGAAAGUUUCUUCAGUACUGGUUCGUAACCCACCUUUAGGAACGGUUGUGCAACCAGUAUUGCUAGUUCAGUACUAAAGGGGGGCCUUUAGUACCGAGUCAAAUAACCGGUACUAAAGGAGGGCCUUUAGUAGUAGUUGUUUAUACCAACUGGUACUAAAUUGGGUGCCACAUCGCACGUGCUAGAGACCAAUUUAGUAUACCAACCGUUACUAAAUGCUUUUUUUCUAUUUUUUUCCUUCCCAUUUUCUUUUUUGUUUCUUUGUUCUAUAUUGGUAUUAUUUCCUUUACACGUGUACUAGUUAUAAUAUGCUAAUAUAUAUCUAUAACAUUACAUUUGAGAUCUUAGAGGGAACCACUUCUGAUAAUAGUUCAAAUACAUAAGAGAAGUCAUUACUUAAGUUCGUACAUCAUUACUUAAGCUCUAGAGAAAGGUUCAGACACAUGAGGAAAGGGUACAUCCAUGCAUGAUACAUAUUUCAUUCUCCGAAAUGCUUCCUUAGAUAUGAAACAUAGUUUAUGUCUCCAAUCUUAAGUCUAGAACUUCAUCAAUAUAAGCUAGAGCAUGAAUUAGUGCACUCUCUAGCACUUCAGAAUGACGGUCACAUGAACUACCAUUAAUCUCGAACAAUGGAGGCAUUGUCACUUGAAAUGGCCUGUAGAAAGCGAGAUGAGCCUAGAGCUUCAAAUCUCUGGUAUCGGGUUUCCAUCACUGUAACUAUAAUUCAACACUUCCAAGGCUUGCUCCAGAAUCACCUGAAAACUCAUUGCCACAGAGGUUUUAUGAAAGAUAUCCUAAAAGAAGAGAAUAAAGUGAUGAAAUAUAAAAGAUGUAACAUAAUUAAAGAUAAAAGGAUGAUUAGAUAUAUAUUCCAGACCAUAUCGUGUUGAUUCUGCUGACAUAGCCUCUUAGCAGUUCUAGUCAUAUUGCUUUCUCCCUCCUCAAGCGCCUUUAUUUUGAAAUAUGAGAAGUUUGGCACAAAGUACCCAUGAUCCUUAAGUUGUUGCAGGCAUGCCUCCACAGUGGUCCUUUCAAAAGUUGUCACACCUGGUUUAAAAAAAAACCAAGUGCUGCCUAUAUGUAUGUCAGGAUCAAGUUUCAUAUAUAUAGUGGCAUCAUUAGUGUAUAACAGCAACAGUAUCACGUAAAAAGAUACAAAUAAAGACUUACGAGACUAUCAGAGAUACACAUCUUAAACCCUGGAAACAGAGGCUACAAACUUCACAAGCAAUCGACUAGGGGUUGCGUACGCCUAGAACUCAGCACCAUCUUCAUAACAAACUUGAUAGCAGCUUCUUCUUCUAAGCAACGUUGGUUAUAUCAAGGGUGAGCACAUGUCGUACUCAACAAGUGUGCGGAAAAUAUGAAUGCAAGGCUUAAUCAAGGAAAGGCUGACUGGUUGACAGCAUUAAGCAUUUUUAGUUGGUCAAAUUUUAUCAGCACCUGAUUACUAAGGUAUAAGUAUAUACCAACCCACAAUUAACAUAAGCAUAAGCUAUAAGCAUAUGGCACAACCAUAACCACGAUUUAAGUCCAUGCUCAAGCGUAUUAAUCAUGUGCGGGUCCAGGCCGUUCUUAACCGUGAGCACGGCUGAUCGAUCUGUUUUACACUAUGCAGAGGUUGCACAUCUUUACCCACAAGUCGAGUAAAAUUUUAGAAGACCUUUGGACCCAACCAUGUUGUGCAGAUCAGGCACUCAUCACACUACUGAUGUGUGACUGCAUAGGGACGCUACGAGGCUUUUACAAAGAUUUGUUAGUAAGUGGUAACCUGCUAAGGUUUCGGUAUCUGACGUGCAUAAACCUCCCUAGUGGGUAUAGUAUCUUAGAGAAGCCCACUUCCCAAGAGGAAGUGGUUAUACAAUGACUUAGUGCCCCCUCUUGCCCCUUUCAGGUAAGAUUACCCCAAACUAGAGUUUCUAAUUAAUUAGCUAAGAUGAGAGCCAUGAUAGUUCUUGUGGUUGCACUAUUUUCCUUGGUGGUUCUCCAUGUUUCCAUUAAACAUAAUGAUCUUAUCUUAGUGAAAGGUAUAGCAUAAAUAAAACAGGUUUAAUCAUUGAUUUCAUUAGAACCACCACAUCCCAAGUAAAGCAGCUGAGCAUAGCUACCCAAUAGAGAGAUAAACCCAGGUUGACAAGGGAUGAUCAUAAAAACUAGGCAAACCUUAAUAGGACCCAUCAAAUUAAAUACAAGCAUAUGCAACCGUGAUUAAAUAAAGUUAUUGGGAUAAAAGCACAAGGACACACUUGCCUUUCUCCAACGAAAAAUUUCUCUUACUACUCUUCAGCUCUUGCUCUCUUGAAACUCUGAAUUUUCAAAUCUUGCGAACAGCAAUCCUUCUACUUGAAGCAAUCAUCGGCACAAACAAACAAGCAAACAAAUAAGUACAACUAAGAACAACACACCAGUCAAAGAAAAAGCUUUAAAAGAGCGUAAUAAAGGAUAAGGCUUGAUUUUAAGAUUACGCAAAUGUGAAAAACGCUGAGAACGGAACUAUGGUUGAAAAGAUAAGGCUAUCCAGAGAUUUGAAUUCUAAAAGAAAAGACAAGAGCUACAUGCUGCAUUUAUUUUACUUGAGAAAAACAACGUAAAGAUAUUUUAGAGAAAUAUCCCUAGUUAGAAUUAAUAAAGUCGUAUUUAUAUUUACAUAUGAAAAGAUGAUGUAAAACUUAGUCCAAUUUUAUUUAUAAAUAUUACAUUUUAUGCAAACCAAACAUUUAAUUUAAAAAUAAGGUACAUGUAAACAUCUAAGCACAUAGCUUUAUGAUUCGGGUUGAACUAACCAAAUUAAAAUUUAAAAACAUAUUUAUAUUCAUAUUAGUCGAAUUAACAUUUAAUUAUGAAAACUUGAGAUAUAACCUAUGUAACAUUUAAUUGAAUAAACAUUAAUCAAAUUGAAUUUAAUUUAUGAAAAGCUGAGGUAUAUUUCUAAUUGGCUUUUAAUUGGAAGAAUUAUUUAGAUAAGCGUUACUCAAAUUAACUUCAGUUUAUGAAAGAUCGAUAUAUAACCUAAUAUGCUUUUAUUUAGGAAAGUAUAUGAAGUAGGUAUUAAUCAAAUUGAUGUUUAUUAUGAAAAGCGGUGUAUAACUCUGAGUAGAUUUUAUUUAGAGAAGAAACACGCUUAUCAGGCAUUAAUCAAUUUAAUAUCAAAUUUAUUUUCAAAAAAUUUAUGAAGGCAAACAUAAUGACUAACGUGUAAUUUAUGUUGUUAUGAAUCUAACGCAACUUGAACUGAUUAAAAUAUAGAACCUAUGAGCUAAACAAGGUUGCAAGAAUCUAGUCGUAAUUAACCAUAUACCUCAGGGGUUAGCAAGGAAUAUUUGUGAGACACAAAUAAUAGUGCUCCCAAAUAGAUUUAUGCUCAGGGAUAGAUAUUCAAACGAGGAUGGUUUGGGCUCGGUUGCAGGGACCUAUCUUCCCUAGGGGGUUAUUUGUAGAUUGCCUAGACACAAAGAUCGUUUGAGAAAUUACCAAGUCCUUUAUGGGUCAAACAGCAAAAGUGCCACCUCAUCUUCAACCUCCAACCGAUUUUUGCAUCAGCCCAUGGCCAAGCCGGUCCUGCCGAUGGUGGCGACCGGGGCCAGGGCAACUCGCGCGGCUGUGGUGUGGCUAUGCUGCCCAGUCGGUGACACUCGGCGUGCAAGCCAGGGGUACAGGAUACAGGCGUUGAUCGAAGGCUCAGGAUCCAAGCGAUGGGGCCCCUCUGGCGACGAAACUGGGAUGGCGAACGGCGGUGGGUGCACAUCUAGGCGUCGCAAAGCUCAUGGCGUCCUCCUCUGCUCAGACGGGCGAUGGUCGCGAUGAAUUGGUCGGUCAAGAGAGCGAACGAUGACCUGCUCAUUACUUCUCGUGGUGACGGGGCUCCAGUGACAAUUGGACGGCGGGAAGAGGUAGCGGGCAUGCAGCCUGGCAACGUGGAGCUUGUCCCGGUGACGGACUUCGCUGACGACGCCCAGGUCCGGAGAAUCAGCGGUGGCGCUCAGCUCUCCGACAGGUGCUUGCGGGUGGCGGAGAUUUGGCCGACGCUGGGUGGCAGAGCAAAGGACCAGCAGGCGGCGCAAGGAGGGCGCUCUCCCUUUAUAGGGUUGCAUGGAACCCUAGUGGCGCGCACACCGAGUGAGGCCGGUGGUGCCAUCGGCCUUGCUUGGCCUGGGAGGCACGGGCCGCGAUGGACAGAGAUGACGAAAACAGGCGCACCUUCAAUGCGUCUUGUGUGCCUGCUUCACCACACUAGAUGAUGAACCUGUUUAUGUGCUCCACUGUAGAAGUAUCAUCUUGGCCCGAGAACUUGGUGAAGUCAGGCUCCUUAUAGCGGUGUGGGAACGGUAGCAGAUCGUACGCUGGUGGAUAUGGCAUUCUGUACAUGUACGUCUGCACCUUUGGCUUGAGCCCAAAUUGAUCUUGCAUCACUUUGGCUAUCUUGGAAGUCCAAUCAACCUGCUGCGAUUGUUGUCUGGCUUGCGGCAGGAUGAUGGGUUGCAUAGGUUGCGCCUGGUAGUGGAUGGCCGACGGGAUCACUUGCUGAGCGAUCGACAUUGGCUGUAGUGGUGUAGACGGAAUGAUCGGCCGAGGGGCCGAUAUCUGACGCUGGUAUGGGUUCUCCUGGUGAGGUAUGUUAAUAACCCCAUCAUACACGACUCCCGAGGACUCAGCCUUGUACGGACUUGUAGAAUUCACCUUCUGAUUGGCCUCCGGCGCGGCCUGCUGUGUCAUCGGCUGAAGGGCCGAUGCUGAUGGACUCUGAUGUAUCAUCGGCUGGGAAACCGAUGUAGAGGUGCUCUACUGGUACUGCUGGAUCAUCGGCUGAGAAGCCAAUGGUGUUGACAUCUGUGUAGGAUCCCUUGAUGCUAUGGUGAAAGAUCCAGGUGGCAUCUCGUAGCCUGUGGUUGGGUCCCAUCCCAGCGACGAUCCUGCUGCCUCCCAUGGCACCGAUGAUGUCAACAGCGGCUGCAUUGGAGGAACAGGUGUAGGCUAAAGUGGUGCUUGUGAUGGAGAAGGUGGUGAACCACCGUAGCCCAAGGGCGGUGUAGCGUUGUAUCGUCCACUUUGCAUCUGCAUCAGCUGAGGAGCCGAUUGAAACACAUCGGGUGUCGCCGAAAGGCUUCCGAUCGGUGCACUGAUAGGAGGAGCGUAGACUGGCCUGCAGUACCCCUGGGCCACGCCAUUGGCCAUAGAGCUGAUGAUCGUGUUAUACAUGGUGUUAUUAAUCACUUUGGAUUGGUCAAUGAGAGCUUGGCUCACAGACUGGUGGAUCAUCUCGGACAUCUUCCCCGAGUCCUCAGCGAUGGUGACGUGACGAGGACUUGGGAGAGUGUUUUUCUUAAUGGGUUCGCCGUUCCUGGUACGGCUGUAGGACUAGAGGAAUGCCUUCUUGAACUCUUCAAUGGCCUUCACCAUCUCAGCCCUAUAGUCAUCCUUGAGAUCUGCCUCGGUGACUCCAAUGACGUUGUCAUCUGAAACUUUUGCAACCUUUCCCUUAGUCAUGUUGGAUCUUCAUUCUUGCUCCCACCGGGCGUGCCAAAAGUGUGUUGGUGCAAAAAUUGAAUAGUGGGCCCGAUCCUCGCGUCAAACACACGACCCAGGAGAAUCUUCUUAGCUCCUGUUUGGGUUAUUGCCCUGGUGCGGUUCGCGCGGCGUGCCAGUCAAUCUGACUUGUUGAUUGACAAGGAAGAACAUGUGUCAGAUAACGAGAGUCGAUUGGCUAGUGUUCCGAUCUGCUCUAAAGACGUAUCGGCAGAGUGGCCGAUAGGGUAAAGAGACGAUUGGCCAAGAGAUCGGCCGAUAGUCAUGUAGCAAACUGUAAAGGAAACUGUGAAAAGCGAGCUAAACAGCGCUACGUGAACAACACCUGGAAUAGAUCUAAUUGGCUGUAGCACAAUAAAUUGAUAUGAAAAGUAAGGUAAAAGUCGAUCGGACGUGUUCUAAGCUAGAUAACUAGUGAUAAAAACUAAAACAAUAGGAAAACCUAUAAUUCUAGCAAGUAUCGAUAACUGGUGAAUAAAUCUAAACCAGACGAUAGCGAUGCGCCCGAAGUCAAAGCUUAGAUGUUACUCGAGAAGAAGAACUUAUGUUUUGGCUGGAGAUCGAGUUGAUGCAGUCCUGCCAAUUCGCACGAACUCGUGAAAAAAGAAAAGAACUUAGCGAAGUCGCCGACUUGAAAGUAAAUGCGUGAAAUAGUAGAUUUGUAUUGAUUUGAUGUGUGGUUUUUUACAAGCCCCUCGGGGCACCUAUUUAUAGCCUAUUACAAUACACCUCCUGGUCGAUCAUGACUUGACUCUAUCUCUAAUUUAAAGUAAUGAAUCUUGAAUCUUUACAUACAAAUUUGACUCGCAUCGGAGUCGAACUCCACCUAGGCCUUCACGGGCCUAUCCUGCUUCUAUCCUCCAAGCGGCCUCCUUGGCCCAUUCAAGCCCUUAUCGACGCAUCGGCCGAAUCACUUUGGCCACCAUCGGCCGAUCCUUACUGAUGCUAUCGGCCAUCACAUAUGGCUCCUAUUGGUCAAAUCCUUUAACCAUUGCUUCUCAUUCAAUUUCAUCGGCCAUUUCCCUUUCUUCUUGACGCCGAGCCAGCAUGUGUCAAAAACCGGCGUCAACAGUUGUAUUCUUAGUUGCCGAGUGUUUUUUUACUGCACUCGGCACAGAUGUUUUUUGCGGAGUACAAUAUGUUUGCCGAGUGCUGCUCUCGAAGCAAUGCACUCGGCAAACCCCUAGGCACUCAGCAUAUAUAUUGUUUCCGGUAGUGCUGUAAUAGGACCUGUUUUCUUUAUUUCCUUUUAAUUUGUUUCUUGAGCUGUACUUGUUACUUCUCUUCUUCCUUUAUAUAUAUAUAUAUAUAUAUAUAUAUAUAUAUAUAUAUAUAUAUAUAUAUAUAUAUAAAAGCAGGAGGGGAUUACCCCUCCUGUAAAACUGGCUGCUUUGGCAGCUCUCGUACGAAUACAGAUUUCAGGUUGGUGUCUCGGCGCCGUUGUUUCGUCGAAAAAAAAAAUCUUGAAUGAGGGACACGGUUUGCCGAUGAAUACUGCUGAAAUCAACAAGCUGGCCAAGAGCUUUAAAAAGUGGUUGACUGUUGAAAGCUAAAGAAACAAAGCGCACUCAGUCAAAGACACAACUUCCACAAAUUAAACAUGAGCGCGAAGCAGUUCAUCACGAUGGAGACACACGACUGUGCGGACAUGAAGCUGUUGAUGCAUGCGGUCUCCUGAUCAAGUACCAGAAGGUGAUGUACCAUUACCUGCUACUGCUGGCGGAGGAGAUGGUGCCGGCGGAGGGUUCUGCCAUGAGACCUUGUACUCCAAAUCUUCUUCCGUCUUGCAAGCGACCUCGCCGCCGUCAGGGAUGCUUGGAUAGCUGCGGAGGAAGGUAACCGGCCAGCAAUAAUAGGUCUUGUUGAUGCUCUUCUCCGAUAGCGCUGGCUUGUAGGUGGUCUCCACCACCACCAUUACGGGGAAGCCGAGGCUUCGGUCGACGAGGUGCCUGUCGUAGAGGUAGUACAGCGAUGCAUUUUGUCCUUGCUGUGUGAGGCUUAUCCACCUUCUGUAUCUGUGCGAGCUGUGCGGCUGCAGCUCGAAGCUGACAUUCCUCUCCGGAUCCGGCUUGAACCAGGAGAGCUCCACCAUCUCCACGAAGGACGCAUUGGGGAUGUCCAUGAUCCUGACGAUGUUGAUGUUGCCCUGGAUCUGGCCGCGGCCGCUGGGGUUGAGGGCGUGGAUGAUGAUCAACAUCUGCACCUCUUUCGCUGGCUCGUACACACGCGUGGUGUUGUUAUAAUUCCACCACCAUUCUAUUGUCUGGACAUAGCCGUAGCUCUGGAAGCCCAUCUCCACAGGGCGGUGGACGAAGACGAUCACCAUCACCACCACUGCAACGGCGAGCACGGAGACCACAAUGGCCACCAGUGAGCGCACCGUGGCUAGGAAGGGGAAUGUAGUGUUCUCGCCAGCGCGGCAUGCUGCCAUUUUUUCUGUGUCGGUUCACGUAGGUAGGGUGGAUGGACUUGUCCAGGGACCUGCCAUAUAUACCCAUAAACUACUGUCCGAAUGUCCAUUCCCUUUGAUUAGAUGACUCAGAUUAAUUAUGACUUUGCUAAUGGCCGAAGCUAGCUAAUUGUUACUUUCUCUGUCCCAAAUUAUUAGUCCCACAUUUUUUUUCUAGAUAUAUAUUUUUUACCUAUGUAUCUAGAUGCGUAAUAAAAAACUAUGUAUUUAGGAAAGUCAAAAUGAUUAAUAAUUUGGGAGAUGACUAAAAUUAGCACUACGCUGUUUGGAUAGUACAUGGGCUAAUAGCUCUGGCAAACUUAUUUAUUCUGCACUUGGUUUCUACUGCUCCAGCUUGAUUUUGCGUGCGUGCGGGAAACGGAUUAGGUGGAACAGUUAGGGGUGUUUUUAUAUUUCUUGAUAUGAUGGUUGCUAUUAGCCCCAACUAGCUAUGUUUGGCCAGCUAAUAAAUGGGCUACUGGUUAACAGUGGACUUUGGCUAACAAUUAGGCCGCCUAUUAACCUCUCAUGUUAGGAUCAGCCAUGGCUAAGUUUUGCACACACACAUGUACACACACCAAUCUUCAAAAUUUCAGCCGAACUCCACCAUCUCCAACAGAGUUUUGGAAUUUUGGAACCAGCAGAACUCCACCAUCUCCAACAGAGUUUUGGUGGUACUAAUAUUUUUUUAGAUUAAGGAAAAUCAUCCGGCCUCGGUCAUCCACGAGUGAAUGCAUGCCUAUAGCCAAACUUACACGAUCUUAACAGAAACUUAGCGCUUUGGCUGCUCUAGAAGUACUCACUACUAGAAAUACAACCUCUCGUCUAGUGGUGGCGGGGGUGGCGGCGGAAGGGGGUGGCGGGGUGGCGGAGGAGGAGGGCCGGGGCAGCAAGGUGCGUGGCAGUGGAGGGGGCCUAGGCCGGCUGGGUGGCGGCGGAGGGGUGGCGGAGUGGGCUGGGGCUAGUGGGGAGGGGCAGCUGCAACAAAUGAGCUCAAAUUAAACCUCAUUAAGGUCAAGUGGAACCAUUAGAGCCUAAUGGAACCUUUGAACAACAACACAUCCAAGUAAAAAGACACUUUUGACCCUCACAAGCUAAACUAGUAUUUGAGCCAUAACUCGAAUUUUUGUUUAAGAACAUCAAAAUCUGUCCAACUAAGAGUUGUAGAACUCAUAUUCACUAGCAGCUUUAGUAUUUAACAUUUGCUUUGAAUCUGAACAUAAAGCAUUCAAAAACUCGAUUUUCAAUUCUGUGCCGAUUUGUGCAAAACGUGAAAAACCCAAACUUUGGAGCCCUUUUUCUCUCAUUUUCAUAUGUAAUAUAAAGCCAAACCUUUUACAAAAGUUUUAGAACUACGAGCCAUGAACAAUUUUGAUUAAAAGAGUUAGGCCAAAAUCUACACAAAAGGGUUUCGAAAAUGCAGUCAAACAUAGCCAAAUCGGUCAACCGGCGCGAAACUGAAAUCUCGUCUAAAGUCUGAAAUUCCAGACUUUUCGCUGAACUUUGACUCGAUUUAUCUUCAAAUCCGUUUGAGAUCUGAACCAAAACCUUUUGUAAAGUUUUAAGUCGAGUCGUAGAUCUACAAGUUUGACAAAGGGAUAUUUGAAUGUUUAGUUCAGAAAUUUUGAAGAAAUCGCCCUCAAAUCUGGCCCUUUCCCUGCCCUUUCCUUGUCUCGCGGUAGACUCGCCAGAACGCGACGCGACGCGCGUCACGCCUAACGGCCACCACGUGGCGUGCCUUCCCCGGCAAGCCAGCUUGCCGCUGCCCAACCGGCACAACUUCAAGACAAAACAGAGCGCCGUCCUAGCCAACCGCCCGCCGAGGCCAUCUCCCACCCCUGCCCGCGAUCCCGACCAACCCCUAGGCGUGCGCCACGUCAUGGCCACCCGUUGGUCAAGCCGCCUCUGCCAAUCCAUCGCCAGACAACGACUACACGAGCGCCUCGCUCCGCCAACUGUUGGUCGCGGAAAAGCCGCGCUUGCGCGCUCCAUAUCGCGCCGGCCCAAUACGGGCGAGAUUGCAUCCCACGACCUCCGCCCCGUGCGCCAAUGGCGUUGCCGCCCCAUCUCCAGGCGUCAGCGCACCACCUCGCCCUCUGGCCCCAGCCUCCAGCGCCUCAAGCCUCGCCUCGUCGCUCCGCUCCCGCCCUGGCCCCAUAAAGGGACCAGCGCCCCCGCCGGAGCCCCUUCUUCCCGCGCCACAACCUUCGCCGCCCCUGUUCCACUGCGCCGCCACCGAGCUCCAAGUGAACCCCCUGCUCCGCUGCUCCCCGCCCCUCGCCACCGCCACAGCCAGCUUCGUUGCACCCCGCGGAGCUCCCAAGCCCGCUCGUUGGACUCCCGAAGCCGCCGGAGCACCGAAACGCCGUCCGCACCACCAUCGCCGAGCCCGAGUCGCCGCCGUCCGCGUUCCACCCCGGUGAGGUUUCCCCCAAUGCCCGAGACCUCUCCAAUCAACUCACGUUGAGCUUAAGCUCCUCCUGACCCAUCCUUAGCCCAAAGACGCCGGCGCAUCGCUAGGAUUCCAAUCGCCGCCGCCGUGCGCACUGUGGGGACAACAUUGCGUCUCCCCCGUUCUUUCCAGGGUCUCCCGUGCAAAGUGCAGGGGCCCAUUCGUAAUAAGUGAAAAACCCGAGGGCUUUAAUCAUGAGUUUGCACGGGAAAAGUCAGCCGAGGGCAUAUAUGUGAAGUGGAAGGGUAUGGUUGUGAAUAAAAGAAAGUCAGAAGGGCCUAUAUGCAAAUGUGUUUCGGUUAAUUAAUAAAAAUUGGCAGAAAAUAGGAGAAACAUUGUAAAUGCACCAAAAAUUGUAGAAACCUCAGAAAACUUCCAAACAAAAUUUGAUGGACUCAGUGAACUGUCUACUUUUAUAGAAAAAUAAUUUUGCACCUGUCACUGUAGAUAUUUUGCAGUUAUGAAUUAAUCCUUGCAUGUGCUAAUUAAUUCACCAUAAAUCACAGAAAAAUGCUAAAAGGGUAAAACCAACUCUGUGAGGAGCACAGCCUAGCCUUUGAAGUCCCUGUUUUUCUUUAUUAAGUGAAAUCUGCACUAGAAUCUUUCUUUUUGCACAGUAAUUAAUCCAGAGAUGAGAAAACUGUGAAACUAGUUGGGUUGGUUCUGUUUUGGAGUAUAGUUUGCAGGAAAAAUAAAGCCCCUUACCAGAAACAGAAGGGAAAACCUUUUUCUUUUUAGAGAAAGAUAACUAAGGAUAAUAUAUGGAAAAUAGAUCUCCUUGUCUGAUAAUUAUGAAGAAUUCACCAAAUCAUGUAAGCCAUUCUUGGAACACCCUGGUAAAGUUUCAUGACCAGAGCAUCUGUAAAUUGCAAGAUAAAAAUUAUUAAGCCCUUUCUACCUUAGGGUGAGAAGGAGCUUUUAAUUAAUUUUGUAUAUCCUUAGUGAACCUCAACUUUUUACAGUAGCCCAGCAGUGACAAGGUUAGGGUGCUGGUGAAGUUUCACCCUCUUUCGUCGCUGUUUGGUUGGUUAAUUAAAAUUUGGAAGAUGAACCGGUUAAAGGAAAUAAAGAAAAGCCUUAAUUAAAGAAAAGAAGAGAUAAGGUAUAUUGGAAGAGGUACAGAAAAACAUUUAGAAACAGGAUAGUUUUCCGAUCUUAAAUAACUAAUAAGUUAAUAAAUGUGUACACAAUCACCAUAUUGAAGCCGAGGGUUUUAAUGGUAUAAGCUUGCUUUCUACGCCAAGUGAGCUGUCUGUGAUGAUCUAGUGUUAACCAGUGUGCAAUCAAGUUUACUUCAUAAUAAUGCACGAAAUGUCAUCCAGACUCUUGAAUACAAGUUUUCAUAUCCUUGCAUUGCAUCCCGUAGAGCUGAACGUUGCUGACGAGAUGUACGAGCUACACCUGGCGACCGAGGACGACAUUGCCGCAGAGCUACACCACGCCGAGGUUGAGCCCGUGACCGAGCAAGCCGAAGACCCGCCUGCUAACCCCGAGUUUGAAGGCAAGCCCCGGAGCAUAAAUUCCUAUGUUUUAACUACUUGCAAUCUACUUGAUUAUCUUGCUUGUGCAUUUACAUUUUCUAGGAGUUGCAAUGAAACCUUAAAUGCAUAAAGUUAGUACCCUUGAUCUGAACACUAGUAUGGUAGGCUGAGUAGUUGCAAUGCUUAAUAGGACUCGGUAAAAGUCGAGUGACUUCCUGUCACUCACGAGUUAUAGGAGUUGAUUGCUUCCUUUUUGCAAUAAGGAUGAUGGACGGGACAGGGCUAUUUGCAUUAUUUUGGUGGUUGGUAGAUUGCCCCAUCUAUCUAAAUUAAAAUGGACUAAGGUUGAGAUGUGAUAGUGUUCGUGAUCAAGUGUUUAAAAAUAUUAAUCUCAUACCUAGUAUGGGAUAGGGAAGCCUAGUACCUGAUUGAACCGGGGUGGACCUUUCCCCCGCUCUCCCUGGAACGUAGUUCCCAUGGUGCAUCAUGUGGGUACAAGUGCAGCCUCGAUACGGCGGAGUCCGGGACCGUUGGGGCAUUGUAUGCCAAGGGAAGUGGGAUCUGGAUAAAUGCCGUGAAUUGAUGGGGACGGCAUGAUAUAUGUGAACCUGUUGGGUAGUAGCAUAUGUCGUGGCAUUAGGUUCACCAUGCAUGGUUAAGAAAUUCAAAUUGAUUCAUCUGCCUCUCACAGUUUGGGACUACUUGAUCGCUAUGCUACAUUGAGUAAGAAUGGAAGAUGAUAAUGUUAAUAUUGAUGCUUGCUAUUAAUUGUUUGGAAAACCUUGCUUGCUUAGUAUAGUGCUAAUGUAGACUGGAUAAUGAACUUAGAAUUUGUGGCUAAAACAUUGAAAGUAAGGACCUACACUAGUCGCUUUUGGCAAAAACAAACCCCUCUAGCCAAUAAGCUUGCAUGUCUAGGUGUUGGUGGAGUAGAUACCACCCGUUGGGUAAGUCUUGUUGAGCGUAGUCGCUCAGCCUUGCUUGUGGCAUAUCUUUUCUGGAAUUGAUAUUGAUGAGUUCGCUGCAAGUGUUACUUGGCCUACCCAACUCCCUCCAGGUUGGACGGUCGAGUGGGAUCCCUCCUCGAACGGCGAGGAAAGGGGUGAUUGAUGUCGUGAUUAGCUUCGUCAUGAUAUCCUGCAUCGAUGUCUAGUUAUUGUUCGUUUUAAAUUUCACUGCUUGAACACUCUCCAACUUUAUGUUUGAAUUUCGAACUCUGUUGUUGUAAUAAAUCAAUGCACUUGUUUUAAUUUGAAUGGAUUGUUGUAAUCUCUGUAACCGCUCACCUUCGUGUGAGUUGCUUUUCUCGAUCCUGUCAUGUGGUUUUAUCGAAAUGAAUCCGACGGACGACCGAGUUGACUUGCUUAAAACACAUGAUCGCGUAUUAGGAGACUUAAGUGUGUUUUAGUUGGGUUAAUCCGGGCAGUUCCGCCACAGCAGCAGGUUGGCGGCAGAGGGGGAUGGGGUCGGCGGGGUGGCCGUCGGCAGAGGGGGGCAGGGUCGGCAGGGGAUUUUCAUUUUCUUUAUUUUUUAACACCCUCUAGUACCGAUUAUUCCAAACUUUACUAGAGGACCCCCCUCUAGUACCAAUUGGCCAGUACCGGUUGCACAACCGGUACUAGAGGGGGGUUUCUAAUCGGUAAAAGAGGCACUUUUUCUAGUAGUGACUAUAGUUCAUACUCAAAGUUCGCACGCCAAAGAUAAAUCUACUUUUAGGACCCCCUAACACCCAAGCACCCGAGGGAACGUCCUGCUACUAAAGAAUCCUUCUCCUGAAGUUCCAGCCAUAUUUGUUGAAGAACUCAAAGGUAGUGACUUCAAGCCUAUUGUAGUUCUUCUUCAGAUCAAUUUUCUCUUCCUCCUUAGAUAGCACCGCCCAUGCUCUUGUCCAAUAAGUCCCUCUAAAAAUUACCUGCAAAAAGGAAUUAGUGGUUGUGCCUUUAAAUAGUAAAUCAUUUCUAUUCAACCAUAUAGCCCAGCAAAGUGCAAUAGCUCCUACAAUCAUCUGGCUUCUAACCUUCCGAGGAUACCCUCUAGUCCAAGAACCCAGCAUAUUAGGAACACUAACAGGCGAUUGAAUUCCAAACGAAAAGAACAUUGUACUCCAAAUAAAUCUAGCUAAAUGGCAAUCAAAGAAGAGGUGUUGCACUGUCUCUUUUGAAUUGCAAAAGCAACGCUUGGUACUUCCUUGCCAUCUCCUCUUAGCAAGGUUGUCCUUUGUUAGAAUCACACCUAUUUUCAAAUACCAUAACAAGAUUUUGAUCUUUAAUGGUGAUUUUAACUUCCAAGCUACACACAAGGAUGGUAUUCCUUCAGCUUGCAUUAUCUCUUUGUACAUUGACUUCACUGUGAUGUCUUUGUUUUUAUUCAGAUUCCAAAUAAAUUCAUCUUCCUAUACCUCCAUACCAUGUGCUACUAUCUCAGCCACUAACUUAGCCAUUCAUUUAAUUUGUGUCAUGUAAGUGCUCUUCUGAAAAAAAAUAUUUAGAAGGACAGAUCCACAAACUUUGACCACAGUGUCAUCUUUCCUUCUAACUAUAUUAUACAAAGAUGUAUAUCUUUCCCUCAAGGUUUUCUUUCCAAUCCAUACAUCUUCCCAUAACCUAGUUUUCUUCCCAUUGUGUACCUCAAACUUACCAAUUGACAAUAAUUAGUCCUUUAUUUCCAUGAGGCUCGCCCAAAAGUGUGAAUCACCUCUUUCUUCAUCACUUGGGAUAGAGUCUUAUUAACUAAAUAAAUAUUUUCUUCUGAGUAACUUUUUCCAUACUCCUUCCUCGUUUAGAUGUUUAAAUAACCACUUGUUUAGCAAGCAUCUAUUUAGAACUUCCAGAUUGGAAAUACCCAAGCAUCCUACAUUCUUUGGUGCACAAAGAAUACUCCACUUGGCCAGUCUAUAUUUCUUUUUGUGUUCAUCACAUUGCCAAAAGAAUCUAGACCUAUAAUAAUCCAAUCUUUUAAGAACACCUUCAGUACUAACCUUGGUAAGCUAGAGAGGACAUUGGUAAGCUAGAGAGGACCCUUAGAAGCUAUUCCUAGAGUUUCAUUCAAAUUCAUUGGCUACAUUGUUGGGAUUCGUGAUUUAAGGUUGGAUUGCCUGGACCAGUCUGACCGGUCAGGUAGACUGGUCUGACCGGUCUGCACAAUCAAACCCUAAAUCAUGUCUUUUUGUUGUAUGAUCAAUGUAUCUACAUAGGAAUACCUCAUGAACAAAAAUUUCCACAUCUUAAGUGAUCUAGCUACUAUGUUUGGUCUCCAGAACCAUUGGUUCUACUCUGGGCCCAACUGGUCUAACCAGUUGCUCAUAUCGGUAUGACAGGUCUAGUUCAGAGUUGCCCCAAUUGUUUUGAUUCCUGGUUGUUCAGCACCGUAGUGGCAAGGGGCCAGCUGAUAGUGAUGAGAGAAGCAGUGAUGGUGAUCCCAAUGGUGGAAAUGGUAAUGGUGAUGAUAAUAAUGAUGAUGAUGAUGGAGAUGAUGGUGAUAAUGGUGAUGAGAAUGUGGGUGACAUAGCUAUGCCCACCAUUCGUAGGCCAACCUAACCCAUUCAUAGAGGACCUACAAAUUAUUUUGGGUAUGGGAUGACUGAGAUGGCAAAAACGCUAAGAAGAUAGGAUACAUACAAUGUGCCUAAGACUGCUCAAGAAUAUAGAUUUUGGAAUUCUUUCCGGCAGGACUUCUAUACCACAGUCAUUCUAAAGAAUUCCAAAAUCACUCAUGAGGCACAGUGGGUAGAUUGGGAUUACAUGAGGAAGAAAAAUGAUCCCAUCUUCAAUGAAGUCAUGGAGGCUUGUGCUAGCAAAAGGAUAAAAACAUCUCAUGGGCUUCAAGCAUAACUGGAAUAGGAAGAUCAUUGCCCAGUUCUAUGCCACUAUUUAUUUUGGACAUAUUGCAAAUGAGAGGGCGAUGUUUUGGAUGACAGAGGGUGAAAAGCAUCAUAUCACUUAUUCCGCCUUCACAUCAUUGUUCAGAAUCAAAGAUGAUGACACUCUUCCUAAGCUUCAUGAUGAAGGUGUUCUUGAGAAUUCAAAAAUGCAUUUCAUGUAUCCCAAGAAUAGGACAGGAGAUUGGGGGAAGGUCAAGAGCCUUUACACCAACUAUGCCAUUUUUAACCAGCUAUUAAGGAAGACCCUCACUCCUAGAGAUGGGAAUCCCUCACAUGUAACUCUCUUUUAGAGGAACUUGAUGGCAGUGUUGAAACUAGGGGAACCUCAAUUUGAUGUGGGUGACUUCAUUUGGCUAGAAAUCAAGAAUUUAAUAGAAAAUCCUUAAAAGAUUUGUAGCUACAGUCCCUACAUCAUUUACAUGAUUGAGAAGGUGACCAAGAGCAAGUUUCCUAGUGAUGUAAAGCACAAGCCUUUGAGACCUCCAGUGAGCAAGACUCCUACGAUCCCAUCUCCACCACCAGAAGAACCUAAACUGCAAGAACAAGGGGGCAGAAAGGCAUGAGCAAUAGCAAUUUCAGCAGCUAGCUGGUGCCCAGGCAAAGACCGCUUUGUGCCUGGGAAACGCAGCCACUUGUAGAGGUAGCAUGAGAAGCCCUCUUCUCCAAUGAAGAAGUUUAUAAACUUUCUGGUUGGCAUGUGCAAAAGUCAGAGAGACAUUGAGGUUGAACAACGGCGACGAUGGACGGCUAGUAAAAAAGAGAGAGAUUUGAUUAAGAUGAUGCAUAAUCACAUGAAUCUUCAGCCUCCUCACUCUCCCAUUUCUCCUUCACCUCUAGAAGUUGAAAUCCCAUCAGUUGUGGCUAGAAUUGGAGAAUACAUGGCACCUGGCUACUUUGACCAAUAUGGCAAUAUGUUUUAUCCAGAUAUGGGAGGCUCAACCUCAACUCCUCCACCUUUUAAGCCACCUCCAACCGGAGGAUUUGAUGCUUUUGUCUCAGAUCUUGGUCCCGGCAUUCAUGGUGGUGCAUAUCCCUUCUAUCCAGGAUCCGCUUUUAUGCCUUUCACAGGAUCUUCUUCUUUGGCAGCGGCUACUGGCACCAUUCCAGGUCAUCCUCAUGCAGCAGUACCUCUAUCUCCUACAGACACAACCGAGUUUGAUGCAUAGGCUAUCUUUGGUCCUCCUCCUCCUCCAUCUACUCAGGGUAUGUCUGACAUCACUCUUGCCCCUCUCGAAGAUAUCAUAGUGUCAGAUUCUAUAUAUCUUAUGUCUCCUAUGCCUUGGUUGGAUUAAGGACUUCAUUGGCCUGAGGACUCACCAAAGGAUAGUAGAAGUGGAUACGGAGAUCAGUGACUUCAGUUGCACCUUCUCGAGGCCCUUUUAUGGAUGAUUGAUGACAAAGGUUGAGAAGAAAUGGUUUAAAACUUCAUCUUCAGGAUUUAGUGUAGCUGAGCAGUUGUGACCGAUAUGACCGUUGGCCAUUACUAGCCAUUACAACCAGGACUAAAGAUCCCCUUUAGUCCCGAUUGUUAUUACCAACUAGGACUAAAGCUCCCGUCUCGGUGGUCGUUGGUGGUGGCUGUUUGACUUGGGACUAAAGGUCAAGGUGUGACAGCCUUAGUAAUUAAGCAGCUAAAUUAGGAAAUCAUCGAAGUGAUUAAGAAACUAAAUCAAAGAAUCAAAAAAGGGAUUAAGGAAUAAGUUAGAGCUAACUCUAAGUUGCUGAGAGUUAAGAACCCAAAAACACCUUAGAUUUUGGCUAGAUGUUAAAAAUUUCUCCUAUUGAGAAUAACUUGUGAGGCCGAUAGAAACCAACUUCAUAUAAAAACUUAAACUUUGAACAAUAUAAAGAUAGUAGAUCUUUUCAAAGUGAACAACCUUCAUAAUUAGCACCUUUCUUCAUCUUGAGCAAAGGGUGUUCCCAAAAUCAAGUGGAAGUUCAGUCAAAUUUCAAAUCUGAUUCAAAAAUAGCUUUGACCGACUUCCACCAAGGACCCUACCAUCCUAUCUCCAACUUCAUCGAGCUUCUCCUUGUUGAAAUUUAUAAAAUUCAUAGUGCAUACCUUGUUUCCUUUUGAAAUUUAAACCGUGUAGUUCGAACUUGGUGUGAGAAUACGCGUUAAACCCGAUACCGUCACCACGAUGCGCAUCACGAGCAUCAUCAUGCAUAUUUAAGCAUCAUGAAUAUCUAUUUGUGCAUAGUCUACCAUCAUGAGCAUCAUUUGUGCAUAGAUGAACAUUUUAACCACACAUUAAUAAGUGCCCAGAAUUUUAUUAUUUAUUGGUGAAAAAUCAAAUUUGUGAAGGAACCCCAAUUUAUUCCAUACCACUAUGCCCCAAAAUAUUUUAUUCAAAUACUAGACACCAUUUAGUGAUUUUAAAAUAUUUUUACUAAAUUUUUCAAAGACGUUUGAUUGGGUUAAAAAUUCAUUUAAAAUUCAAUUAUAGCUAUUUUGUUUUGAUGAUUGUGUGCAAACUAUAAAAUAUUUUGGAUUGAUUCUUGUGGCAUUGGAUUAUUGGUGAUUUGUUCUUUCCAACGAGUAUUUUUGAAGAAUUUUUGAACACAGUUAGCUAGGUUGUUUAAGGGGACAAAGUUGGCAUGAUGUUUUUCUUAGCCGGGCCCACACGUCAGCACCUUCUUCCAUCUCCCUCUGCCUGGGCGCCAGAUGCACACACAGCCCCAAGAUCGCCGGUUGGCCACCCCCUAGCCCCUGCAGGGCUCCUCCUCCGCCCAUAGGCCACCCAAACUCCUCCCACGUGCCCUUCCCCUCUCUCCCACGCCUCCUAUCGCCCCUGGUUGGGUAGCCCCUCCAUUGAACACGCAUGGCUGCCACCAGGCACAGCACCUCUGGCAACGCCCUCCCCUCCAAUCCUCGCGCCCGGUGCUGUGUCACCUCGUCCGUGCUUAUCCUCGACUCGCCCCGCCUAUAAAACCCAAGCCCCUGCCUCCCCCGGACCGCACCACCCCCAAUCCUCCAUGGAGAGUACACCGAGCUUCAAAAAUCCCCAUCCUUUGCGGACCAAAUUCGUCGUCGUUAUUGAGUCUCAGCUCGAUUCCUCACAGCCACACGAUCCCCUCGACAUCAUGCUUCCGUUUUGCUACCUCCCGGCCGUUCUCCCUCGCCGGAGAGCCCUCUCCACGGGAGCCCGCGUCUGCCCCUUCCUGUUGCCCGGGAGCUUCCUGCGCCGCCCCAUCUUCCUCGUCGCCACGCCGCUGGUGAGCACCUACUCGGCCCCGUGCGCGCCCCUCUUCUUCCCCAAGCCGCCCAUUCCUUUCCCCGCCGAUGGCCCCCAAGUGCAUGGGCAUGCCGUAGAUCCAGGAGCUAGAUUGCAAGAUUGUCUCGAUUUUCUUUAUUUUCUAGAUCUAAAAAGGCUAAAACUUUGGAAAUUCAUAGUAAAUUGUAGAAACAUCACAAAAUAGCAAAUGAAGAUGUUUUGGAAUCCUUGUGAGUAGGACUAUGCAGUAGUUGUAUAAUAUGAUACAUUUUAGUAGAAAAUGUUUGCGGUAGAUUUAUAUCUAUGCUUUUUAGGGUUAAACUCAUAUCUGUAGUUAUGUUGCUCCGUUUGCUGUGAAAUUGUUAUGGUAGGUUAUACAUGAUGCUCUUGUACUGUGGUAAAACUUUCAUAUCUAUUGGUGCAUGUAUGACUGAGUUAUUAAUUUAACUUGUUUAAUGCUUGUUAGGUGAUUUAUAAAUAUUAGGAGUGUUUAAAAAUAGAAAAUAUGGUUCAACUACCUUUAUAUGAUGUUUUUAUAUAAUAAUAACACAUAAUAUGGCUAUGUGUUUAUAGAAAAUGAUGAUCUUUAAAAAUUAUCUUGCUUUUACAUGUUUUCUUGCAUUUGUAAUUUGUCUUUUUCAUAGCAAUUAAAUUAUAAAACCUGGGCAUGUGAAAAUUUUACAGUAACCAUGUUUUGAUAGCAUAUACCACUCAUAAAAAUUUCAGCCCCAAACUAGUUGUUCUCAUAUGGCACUAAAAAUAAUAUAUGUACAUGUCAUUCAAUGGGAGUUAAUAACAAAUAGACAUAUUUCUAAGCCAUGAGAUGCCACUUCAAUUAUACCAACUUUGUGAAAUGUAGUUGAGCUAUAUGAAUGUUUGUUUGAGCCUUUGAAUGAUUUAUGUAUGAAAUCUCGGUUGGGAGAAACACGUGAAAACCAAUAAUAUGCUUGCUAUCCCUCUAUAAUAGGUUGUGUGAUGUAUAGUUAAAUAACUCUAGGUGCCUAUGUAUUGCAUGAUCUUAUGUUUGCCUUGAAUGUUUUUACGUGAUGCAUCUUAUGUGACCAUUCUUCGUAUUCAUAUACUUGCAUCUUGCAUCUCAUCUAGAUACGCUAGAUAAACCACGUGAAGGACAUGAUGAUGGAACCAAACCCAAAGACGGUGUAUGGUGGAACUAUCCCGAAGAUGGAAGGACUAAGAAAGUGCCAAGAUGGGAGAUGCUCGCCAAGCGAGUGUCGUCUAACAAACACUAACCUAGUGUUGGAUUCCAGGCAAGUCCCGGAGCAUAAAUUCCUAUGUUUAAAUACUUGCAAUAUUUUGGUUGUUUUGAUUGUGCAUUUACGUUUCUAGGAAUUGAUUGAAACUGUAGAUGCAUGAAUAUAGUGCCCCUUGAUCUGAACACUAGUAUAAGAAUGUCGAGUAGUUGCAAUGCUUAAUAAGACUCGGUAAAAGUCGAGUGAUUUCCUGUCACUCGCGAGUUGUAGGAGUUGAAUGAUUUUCAUUUGGUUGCAACUAUAAGGACGAUGGACGGGGUCGGGAUUAUGUUGGUACUCGGUGGUUUGCCCCGUCUAUCUACCGGAAAUUGGCUAAGGUCGAAAAGUGGUGGUGUUCGUGAUCAAGUGUUUGAAAGUACUAAUCUCAUACCUAGUAUGGGAUGGGGAAGCUUAGUACCUGAUUGAACUAGGACGUGGCUUAUACCCCUGCUGUCCUUGGAACGUCGUUCCCAUAGUGCAUCGUGUGGGUGCAAUGGCGGUCACAGUACGGCAGAGAUCGGGACUGUGGAGCAUUGCACACCAAAGGCAGUUUGGACCUGACACAUACUUAGGGAUCGAUGGGGACGACUGACAAGUGAAGUGACCCUUCGUGGUGCGCGGAUGUCGUGGGAUUAGGUUUGCCAUGCAUGGUUAAUAAAUUCGAAUCGAUUCAUCUGCCUCUCACAGUUUGAGACUGCUUGAUCGCUAUGCUGCACUGAGUAAUAAGUGGAACAGUAUGAUGAUAAUCUUGAUGCUUGUACUUAAAUUGUAUUGAUCACUAUGCGUGAUUAGAAUAGUUAAUCAACUAUAAUGGUUAAUCAACUAGAACCUGAUGCUAAAACUUGAAAGUAAGGACCUACUUUAGAUGCUUUUGGCAAAACAAACCCCUCAGCCAAAAAGCCUUGCAUGUCUAGGAGUCGGUGGAUUAGUUACCACCUGACGGGUAAGCCUUGUUGAGUAUUAGUAUACUCAACCUUGCUUGUGGCUAUCUUUUUCAGGUGUAGUUGCCGGUGUUGACUUGUUUGGGAACCGUCCUCGGUUGGCGAGGAUGGUGAUUGUUGAUGUCAUGAUCGGCUUCGUCAUGAUGUCGUGUAUCGACGUUUAGCUUCCACUCGCCUUUUAUCUUUCGUUGUUGAACCCUUGCAAGCUUUGUUUGGAUUUUCAAAACUUUGAUGUAAUAAUUGUUGAACUAUGUUUAAUGUGAUGGGAAUGUUGUAAUCUCUGUGUAACUACUCACCUUCGUGUGAGCUCGCUUUCCUGAUCCUGUGUAAGUGGUUUAUCGGAUGAAAUCUGACAGAUGACCAAGUUGACUUGUUUAAGAUGCAUGAUCGCGUGUUAGGCGACUUAAUUGCAUUUUAGCCGAGUUAACUUGGACGGUUCCGCCACACAAAGCCCUUUAGUCCUGGGUCCAAAAACGAUCGGAACUAAAAGUGCUGGAUGGAAGGUCGAUUCUCUACUUAGUGCAAGAGCCUCACUUCCGGACAUGCGUCCCUAUGAUCCUUUAUAUACUCCAAAUGUCUUAUUGGCUUGCUAGACAGACUCAUACUUGCCAUGGCGAUGUGUAUCCCUCCUCUCAAAGGAUGGAGCAGCAAGCACCUUGUAGUUGCGGCCAUGAUAGGAACCCUGGUCGUGGUCGCCAUCGCCGCAGUCAUCAUCGUCGACCUCACUCCGCCUCAAGUCUUCUUCUCCAUCGAAGAUGCAAGCCUCCAAUUCUACAACUUCACUCUCUCUGCCAACAACACCAGCCGGCGCAUGGAGGUGCAUUAUACCACCCUCAACACUGAGAUAUGGAUAACCCCGUCUGAUUGGUAUUCAGCCGAGUUGAGCAUGAGCGGGUUCACGCAGCAGCCACCGGACAACGUGACCAAGUUCGCCGGGUGGGCCGAGUCGUAUCAGCUGGAUAGCAUGAUGGCGUCGGCGCAGGGCAGCGGCGCGGGGAAUUGGCCAAACUGCACCGUGGUGGUGAUAGCCAAGGUGUUGUUCAAGGUCGGGCUGGCACGCACACGGCCGUACCACAUCAGGGUGUCCUGCUUCCCCGUCAACUUCCGCGAUAAGACUCGGUACGCCAAUUGUACCUACUGAUCUCUCCAGUUUAGGAAGGGGAGAAGAGCCGAGGCUUUCUAGGGAGGUUGCCGGAGGAGGAGCUGAGGAAGGAUGGGGCGCGGCAAGAUCGAAAUCAAGCGGAUCGAGAACUCUACCAACCGCCAAGUGACCUUCUCCAAGCGCCGCAACGGGAUCCUCAAGAAGGCGCGGGAGAUCAGCGUGCUCUGCGAUGCCAAGGUCGGCAUCGUCAUCUUCUUCGCGAUUUGCUGGGCGCUCGAUCUGCCCCGCCCUCCGCCCUCCGCCCUCCCAGCCUUGCGUCGCCCCUGUCACCCCUCCCCCGUGAACUUCCUCAAUACGACUCGGUACGCCUCCCAAGCAAGUAGCUGAAGCAAACAGGCUGAAAGAAAGGCUUACCUUAAAUUCUGUCAGUCUCUGUAUGGCUGUUGUCUGGAGGGCUCCAGUACACCUUAGAUCUGCUGUUGUUGGUGUUGUUAAUGGACUCCUGAUAUCUGCUUCCGUUCAUGUUCCAGUUCCAUUUGGUCUCGAAAUUAAAGAUAUAUUCUUCAUCAUAUCGGUAAUGUCGCGCGGUUCUUGGUUUCAAGUACUGCCUGCAUUUGUUUUUUCUUUUCCUUGUCAUUUGGUCCGUCAGAACUAAGUUUGUUGAAUUCCUUCUGAGUAAGCUUGAGACGCUGGUCGUGCUUGUUUGUUGGUGUGCCUACGUGCCGCAUAGUUUGUCGUAGCAAAUACUUCCGGUUCCAUAUCGCCUGUGUACUACUGGACCGGGAUGUUCUUCAAUCUGUUAUGACCCUGUAUUCUGUUUUUAUAUAGAUCCCAUGUAUGUAUUCUGAAUGCACAGCCCCUGCUGGGAAAUUGGUUUCCCUACUGCGUGUCUGUGUUUACAUGCAUCUUCUAACUGUGGUUCCAAUGGCCCGUCUAGGCCCAUACAGGCCUAUCAGGUGGACGGGCCGGCCGGCCUCCUGGAUCAAAAAGGCCGGUACCCAUCCCUUCUUGGCCCGCCCGCUCCCGCUGUAGAAACAAAACCAGAGCCAGCAGAUCCCCCGGGCCCUGAAGAGAAAGAAGACGACAACAGAAGAAAGAGCUCGCAACGAAGCCGGCGGAAGCCCCCAAACCCUCCCCACCCCAGGCAGCAGCGGCGCGAUGAGAUGGUCGACGACCCACCGCCGGCGGCGGGAACACCGUCGAGGACAUCGUCCGCGCGGAGGUGAGCAUCCCCGGGCAGCCCUCGUCCUCUUUGCUAUGAGUGCCGGGGAAUCCGAUCUCCGCCCGCGCCGACCUGGCUCUGCUCGGCUGCCCCGAUCUGCCCGCGCGGGUGGCGGCGCCUCGCCCCUAGUUCGGUUUCAGGUUAGAGGUGUCCCAGCGUGGUGUCUGGGCAAGGGGAAUCCAGCAACGAGGCGUUCUCCCUCCCAUCGACUCGGUUGGCGCGGACGGACGCGGUGGGUCUGGUUGGGGAAUUUGUGCCCGUUUCGAUUUGGGUGUAGAAUAGGUAAAUAUCUUCAAAAUUGAUAGAAUUAGGCCCGUUUAUAUCGGGAGCUCCCUCCCUGCUACUUGGGCCAUGACGCUUUGGAUCGCCCACAAAAAUUCACAAACGCAGGCAGGGCCGAUCAUCCCGGAUAAAUCCAUAAUGGUUUUUACCGGUUACCGACCCCGGCGGAUUCGAUUUUUACCGAAAACCGGUCGGUAACCGGUAAAAACGGGACGAAUUCAAAAAACGAAUUGCCAGCACAACUGGUAAAAACCGCAUAGUAAAGGGGGCAUUCCAGCGGCCUGCAAGGCGGUUUCCCAGCUGGCCCGUUGUUAUUCCCCACCAAGCUUUAGCAUCUUUCCUUUGUGAUUGUGCGCUGGUGGGCCCGGCGCCGGGGUGAGAGAAGACACGGCACCUAAUACUUUCCUCACCUUUGCAGUGCCGUGGGCCCGCCACUUCCAUUCUGGCCCACAAGUGAUGGAGGCGCGCGAGGAGGGGUAUCGGUUUCACGAUGAUUAAUAAAGAAAGGCCCAAGACACGUCACGCUGUGGGGGAAAGGGAAGACACCGCACCGCACGCACCUCCACCACUUGCGUUGCCUUUGCCUUUGCUUUUCCCCGAGCUCGCCCGCCUAGGAGCUCCAGCAGCCGGUCCGCUCCGCCGCCGGUGCGGCAACCACGCCGCCGUCAGACCGCCUCGCGCGGCCACCGGUCGUCCCCGCGAUACACCGCCGCCGGUGCGCCGUGCGCGGCGGCGCUGUCCCGCCGCUCCUCCGCCUACCGUCCGCCUGCGCCACCACCAGCGCACCGGCAGCACCGCGAGCUGCUGCGCCACCCCGACGUUGGUCCUUCCUGAGCCCGGUGUCGUCACCAGCGUCGCGGAGAAGCUAAUUACCUGAAGCAAUUUGUAGAAACAAAUAGUACUGGUUCGUUCACUUAUUUCUUUGCUCAAACUUAAUUUCUGCUUAGAGUUUGUGCCUAAAUUAGCUGCUUAUUCUGCUGGUUGCAUGCAGGAGAUCGAGCUGCGGGCGUACGGCCGGAUCGGAGGAGGACAUAUCAGCCGGGUUCCUGUUGGUUGUGUACUUGUGUUCCUGCCGGCGGAGAAGCAACCAUGGCCGAGUUAGUGAUCGGGCCACUGAUCUCCAUGGUGAAGGAGAAGGCAUCCAGCUACCUGCUGGACCAAUACAAGAUGAUGGAAGGCAUGGAGGAGCAGCGCAAGACCCUGGAGCGCAAGCUGCCAGCAAUCCUGCACAUCAUCCAGGAUGCGGAGGAGAAAGGAGCCUCCCGACCUGAAGUAGCAGCUUGGCUCAAAGACCUCAAGACAGCGGCCUAUGAGGCCAACGACGUCUUUGAUGAGUUCAAGUAUGAGGCGCUUCGGCGAGAAGCCAAGAAGAAGGGCCACCACAGCAAGCUUGGAGCAGAGGUAGCAAGACCAUCGAGGCGCUUCAGCGAGGCGCUUCGGCGAGGCGCUCGUAAUCCCAUUGUAUUCCGUUACAGGAUGGGCAAGAAGCUACGCAAGAUUGUGCAGACCAUCGAGGCCCUAGUCACCGAGAUGAAUACAUUUGGUUUCAGACACUUGCAGCAAGCACAGCCAUCAAGGCAGUGGCGACAGACAGAUUCCAUAAUCAUUGACUCCGACAGAGAUAUUCUUAGCAGAUCUAGAGAUCGGGAGAAGAAGAAAAUCGUGGGGAUGCUCCUUGAUCAAGCUAGCAACAUGGAUCUCAUGGUUCUUCCAAUUGUUGGGAUGGGUGGGAUGGGCAAGACCACCUUCGUGCAACUCAUUUACAAUGACCCUGCAAUCGAGAAGCACUUUGAGCUUCGGAGGUGGUGCUGUGUGUCAGAUGAUUUCGAUGUCAGUACCAUUGCAAUUAACAUCUGCCAGACCAAUGAGAAAUGUCGUGAAAAAUCAUUGCAGGAGCUCCAGAGUAUAAUAAGUGGAAAACUGCCAGACCUCAUUGUGUUAGAUGAUGUAUGGAAUCGGGAUGCUGAUAAGUGGGGAAAACUAAAGAGUUGCCUUAAGCAGGGUGGCAAGGGCAGUGCAGUACUAACAACAACUCGUGAUGCACAAGUGGCUCACAUUAUGACCAUGGGUGUAGCUGAAGCCCAUAAUAUGGAGAAUCUGAGUGACGAGCAUUUAAAGGAAAUUGUCCAAAGCAGAGCAUUCUGCUUGCAAAAUCCAAAUAUUGAAGAGCAAGAUGGCAUUCUCAGUGGAUUUGUUCGUCGAUGCGUUGGAUCUCCCUUGGCUGCCAAAGCCUUUGGCUCUAUGUUGAGUAACAGGACUAGUAUAAAUGAAUGGAAGAAUAUAUUAGCUAAAAGUAACAUUUGUAGUGAGAAAACCGGAAUUUAUUUGUUCCUCAAGCUCAGUUUUGAUGACCUAUCCUCAGAUAUGAAGCAGUGCUUUGCAUUCUGUGCUUUAUUUCCUAAAGAUUAUGAGAUCGAUGUGGACCUCUUGAUUCAACUGUGGAUGGCACAUGACUUCAUAACUGUGCAGGAGGAUGACAAUCCAGAAACCGUAGGAAAAUAUAUUUUCGAGGAGCUAACUCGGAGGUCAUUCUUUCAAGAUGUCAGGCAAACACUUCCAAUUGGCAAUUUUGGAAGGUUGUCGCUUCGUAAGUCAACCAUAUGCAAGAUACAUGAUCUUAUGCAUGACAUUGCUGAAGGACUGAAAGGGCGACCAGAGGGGGGGUGAAUGGGAGCCUAUAAAAAUUCUUUACGAGAACAAGGCCUAUGUCCCAACCGCAACCCCAAAGUACAUUGCGCGUUGUAUCGUCAAGAUGACGCAAGUCAACUCGUGACAAGCUCACCCUAGUACCUAUAAAACAACACUCAAAUCACAGCGGAAACAUAGCAUGAAUCGACUCCAUCAAGUUUGCAUAUAUGAGACAAAGCAAAGAUACUACUAACCAUUUACUAAAUUAGGCAUGGAAAGAUUAGCAAUAAACUAGGCAUGAUUAGUAAAAAAACUAAACAAGAUGUCAAAGAUUAAUUAGCAACGUGCAAGAACUUAAUCAGUAACCCACUAACAUGAUUAGUAAGUGACAGUUCUAAUUAAGAAGCUAAACAAAAGAAUAGAGACUAACGAGCCAAGUUCCAAGAAUUAACCGUUCGCUACUUUCCUGUCAGCCUGCUGGCUUGCAACCUGCGCCAGGCCCGAUGGCCUCCCUCGCUUUGCUCCUGUUGGGUCGGUUGGCCUGCCGCAGCUAGCUGGGCCUCUAGUGCUGCUGCCUGGGCCGUCAGGCUUGUCUGGCCCGCGAGGCAAGCAGCUGUCCUCCCACUCGGCCUGCUGCCCAAACAGGCCUGGCCCGUGCACUGCUCCCCUCCUGGACCGUGUGCGUAGCUGGGCUGCGAGCUGGACUGCUCCCUGCAGCUGAUGCUGGCUUCGGUCUGGCUCGCGUGCACGUCCCGUGCCUCCUCCACGCAACGACCUGCGAACAAACAGAGCAAGAACACCAAGAACAACCAGAGAACAGGGAAGAACACGUUCAACUUCAAAUUCGAAAUCCUCCGUCAAAUCUCCAUGAAUUGCGACGAAACUUGAGACAAGGAUGCAAUACCCCUAAGGAAAAUAGAUCUAUGAAACAAAUCUUGAAAAACUCAGGUAUACAUCACUAAUCUUGGAGAAAACCGAAAGCCUAACUCAAAAACACGAUUCGGAGAAAUUCGAAAUCCAAGCCGGAUCCAUGAGAGAUUUAGAAGGGGAACGAAUCAAAGAUGCUCCCUAAGGUCCUAGCAUCAUUUCCUUUCAACCAAGUCCACGAGAUUCGGCUCAAACACGAAGAACGAAAAUUCCCUAAAAAUAGCUUCGAAAAUAGGGAAAAAGAAAAACGCUCGGGAAUCAAAAAUUUAGCACGAUUCGAGACAACAAACAAAGCUAAAUCACGAGAACAUCUUCUAUACAAGAUGAGAACUAGCCUCCUCCCUUCAUCCACCCACUAAAGAUGAAGAAAUCGAGAGAAAAGAGUAAUCACUCCCUAAUCCCCCUCUCUCCUCUCACUUUAAGCACAUGACUAGCCUCUAAGCAAAUAGAUAAUGAGUUGCUAAGUAAAGAGGUGCUGAAAUAACCAGCCUCCAUCCCUAUUUAUAGUCCAGGACGAAAGACUAUACUACCCCUACAGCUACAACUAAGAUAACUACCCACGCAGGGGCAUUUUGGUCCAAGUUUUUAUCCGUGCAUCGGACGGACACGCCGCCUUCACGACUUUGCUUCGCCUCGACGCAAGCUUCGCGAUGACGCCACGUGCCCUCCUUCUCGAAGCUACGGCCGCACCGGGCUCGCCCCCGGUUUUGAGGCCCAAACCGGGAAACCUGCCCGCGCGGUGGUUUUGAGGCCCAAACCACCCAAACCGUCCAUCUUUGCUUGGCCGCUACGCGACCUCCUUGAUGUCGACGCGUGUCCGGCCUCCGCCAAGCCUCCCGCUCGACUUGACCGACGUCGUCUCCAUCUUGUCAUGUUCUCCCACCGUUCCGUGCACCAUGUGGACCGCCCGUGACUCCGCCCGGACUCCUCAGGUCCAUCGGUCUAAGCCUACUCGCGUUCAUCCUUCAUCGCCCUUGGUCCAUCGGUAACCUUUCGCUUGACCUUCACCGCACUCCGUCGACCGUCAUGCCGCAUCCUACACCUGCACAUCACAAGCCAAGAGCAACAUCAAACCAACACAACGUUGUCAAUCACUCAUCAUCCAAGGGUGACCACGAUUGGCCCUCAAUUGCUCUAUCUGUUAUGGGGAAAGAAUGUGUCACUAUAGUUGGUAAGCCGAGCGUCAACAAACUGGUUAUAAGUCAACAAAAUCCGACCCGUCACCUCUUCUUAGGUGUUUGUCCAUUGGAGAAAGAACUGGUUAUAAGUCUAUUGAAGAAACAAACUGCAAUGCUCCAUACGUUGUUUUUUCCAGAUUAUGGUGACCCCCUUGAUAUAUCAAAGUACACUUCACUGCGAGCAUUACACCUUCCAGCAUUGAUACAAUUUUCAGGACAGGAACAGCUUACAAGAGACAUACCACACCUAAGGUAUCUUAAUCUGUCGUCACAUGAGUUCGAGAAACUUCCUGAAGGUAUAAGCAUUAUGUAUAAUCUACAAACAUUGGACCUCUCUCAUUGCGUACACCUUCGUCAACUUCCAAAGGAUAUGAAAUAUAUGGCAAACCUCCGACACUUGUAUACCCAUGGAUGCAAAUCAUUGACGUGCAUGCCUCCAGGACUUGGACAGAUCACUUCUCUGCAGACUCUAACAUAUUUUAUUAUUGGUGAUGGCUUGGGAUGUAGUACUAUCAGAGAACUUCAAAACUUAAACCUUGGUGGAGAGUUAGAGUUAAGUGGUCUGCAAAAUGUAACAGAAGUGCUUGCAAAAGCAGCCAGUCUUGAAAAAAAAGAGAAACUCACACACUUAUCUCUCAAGUGGAAUGAUGAUGCCCGUGAGAAACCAGAUUAUUCUCAUAAUGAGGUGUUAGAUGCCCUUAAACCUCAUCACCGGCUAGAGAUGCUAAGAAUAAAGUCCUACAAAGGCACCAAUUUACCGUCAUGGAUAACAGAUCUUAGUCUGUUGCAGCACUUGACUGAGCUCCAUCUGCUUGGUUGUACGCUGUGCGAGGAAUUUCCUCAAUUCUGCCAUUUCAAAACCCUUGAAGUUCUGUAUUUGGAAAAGUUGAACAAAUUGCGAAGCCUAUGCAGCCAUACGGUGUCUACGCCAUUUCCAGCACUGAAGCAACUCCGGUUACAUGAUUUGGAGAGCUUGGAGAGAUGGGUCGCAACAGAAGGAAAAGAAGAUGAAUUAACCUUUCCUGUACUUGAGGAGGUUGAUAUAAAAAACUGUCCAAAGUUGACUAGCCUACCUGAAGCACCAAAACUCAUGUUUGUAAGGCUGGAUGAA
rnacentral:lncRNA from 1 species